rnacentral:lncRNA from 1 species
AUCAUGUAGGAAUAUCUGAACUGGUUCAAGUUUUCUAGCACAUCUCUCCUUGGCUUGCCCAAACUGAGACUUAAGGGAAACACUUCUGAGUUUGUCCUUACAGCUUAAAUCAUAUGCAUUUUAGAGGACUGUUUAAUAUCUUGAUCCCAUGCCUUGUUCAUGAAAUUUUUUUCAUGCAGAUCUAUCAUAAAGUAUAUUUUCCUAGAAAAAUAAGGAAAUCAGCAUUAGUCUUUUCAUUACAUUAGGUUGCUCAGGUUUAUUCUUCAAUUUGAGCACCCUAACCAGCAACAUUCAUCAAAAGCAAAGUAUUCUGUCUCCAUUUACUUGAUAUAUUUUCUUCAAUGAAUCUUUAUUUUGUUUGUAGUGUGCCCAUGGGGAUGGAUGUGAAUGAAGCCACUCAUGGGAAUGCCUUGUUGGUGGCCAUUGAUGUUUGUAGUGUAAUUUUUGUCACAAUUUACAACAUUUGUCAUUGUUUUGUUUCAUCUUCCCUGCUCUGAUUUCGGUGUAUGCUGUAGUUUGGUUGAUAUUUUCAAUUUUGGUUAUGAACUUUCUUUUGUUUUAGUUAUAGUUAAUUUCAUGGGAGUUUUGAGUGUUGGGUAGACAAAAGAGUAGAAUACGGCUUUUGUUAUGCAGAGUGUGCUCAUGAAAGAGAAAUGGUGAUUAGCUUGAUGGAGGGGGAACUUCUAUGUGUUUGGCAGCUUUAAGGGGGUUAAAAUGGGGUUAUCUAUCUACCUCAACAGGAGUGAAACAUGUCUUGAGAGUAGUCAUGACACAAUGUUGGAGGCUAAUUGGAAUCAAUAAAUUGAAUAUGAAGGUAAGCACUCGGUUGUUUCUUAAAUAUCAGGCCAUCUCUUGUAGUUUCACCCAGCUUAAAAAUGGGCCAUUGUAGUUUUCCAGCAUUCAGAGUGAUGAUUUGGGAGUGAAAGAACCUUGCAUAACGUUGUAAAGCAAUGAGAUUAAAUUGAUCUAUUAAAAGCUUGGUUGUUUUCUAGCCUCUUGUGUCUGAGUCUUUUCUCUCCAGUUACUUCAGUUUGGAAACUAUGACAUUGAAUGAGAUAUUUGGCUUACAGCUCCUGAACUGCUUCAGUAGCAUUUUCCAUGGUCCUGCCAAUGGAUGGUUAGAUCUUUGAGUAAUAUCCUGGAUCACAAGAGUCACCAAGGAAUUUCAUCAUCUUUGGUAUCUUAUUUCAUUUUGUCAUGUUAAUUGAGCAUUUCUCUGUUCUAAGAUGAUACAUAUGAAGGGCCUGUGUAUGAACCUUUUUUCGAAAAUAUUUCUCUCAAAAAGAGUAUUUAAAAAUCAUUAUUAAAAAUAGUUCAAUAACAAAUUUCUUUUUGAAAAUUUAAAUGUGAAAAUCAAUUUUCUUGAUUUGUUCUCCAUUUUGCAUUUAUGUAUCAUAUAAAGCUUUCCGAAGCAUUCUUUAUAUUUUCAAUUUUUGCUUAAAAUAAUUUUAAAAAAAAUUAAGCAAAAACACUUGGUAUUAUUUUUAAAAAAUAAUUUGUUUUCAAAAAAAAUUAAAUAAAAAGUUGGUAAAACAUGUUCUUUUGUUGGAAAACUAUUUCUUACCGUUUUGAACAAUAUUUUUCAAAUAAGUCUCUUUUUUAAGUCAAUCAGAUGCACCAGAUGUUCAUUGCAUAUUUGUAUCCUCCAUAGAACAUGAAAUGAGAAACAUCUGAAAGUUGAUAAGGUUUAUAUUGCACCAUGCAAACUAGAAAUCCAAGUCCCCUCUAGAGUUAGAGUGGGCAUAAAAAGUGUCACGCCCCAAAACCUACUCGAAGGGUAUGACGGUCAUUUCACACUUCAAGCCCAAAGGCUCAUAGUGGAAAUGACACAAACAUUCAUAUUGUAACCGGAAAUUUACCAAUUACCAAAUUCCUGUUCAGAGUAGUAGGACAAAAUUCUAAAAUCUCCAAGUAUCAACUUUAAAAAAACUAACACAUCAACUAGAGUGUUAUUUGUCUAAAUAACUCCAAAUUCAAAUAAUUUAAAUGGGAAUUAAAUUUUAACAUUUAGUGGUGUUUGUUUUUUUACUUAAUUUUAAAUAGAACCUUAAUGUUUAAUAGUGUUAAAUAUUAGGUUGUUUGUUUUUGUAGUAUUUUAUUUCUAUUAAGUAUUAAAAAGUAAAAAAAAAACCAAUAUGUUAUUUUUUUCUAUUUAGAAAAAGCUAUAUAUUUUGAUUUUUUCUAUUUAGUAAAAAGUUUAUAAUAAGUCAUGAAAAAGUAGAAAAACAAACAACCUAAAUUCUAAAACUAAAUUGCUUUAAGCAAAAAGCCAAAAAAACAAACACCACACAAUGUCCAAAAAUAAAGUUUGAACCAAAAUCCUAACAAAGAAAAAUUCUCAAGUUUAGCUAUCACUCCUCGCCCGAACUAAAAGUACCUGAAAAUUAUCAACAAAGGGGCAUGAACUUUAAGCUCAAUAAGGAACAUCAAUGCGGUUUCAUAGAUUAAACAUUUUUCAAUCAUGUUUGCAAAUAGAAGAUAUAACAUAUAUUUAUUUUCAUAAAAACUUUUAAGUUCAAAAUACUAAUAAAUUCAAACUUUUCAACAAAACUUUCUUACAUCAAUUUCAAAACAAAUUUUCAUCAAAAUCAAAUCAAAUACAUUCAUAAUAUCUUUCCUCUGAUUAUCAAAUAACAAAUGGUGCCCAAUUAGGUGAGACUUUACAAAUGAGUGGCUAGUUUCAAAUUUGUUCCAUUUAAGGUGAACAAAUUCAAAUGUCAACAAUUAUAACUAAGGUCAACUAUUAUAACCUGUUUACUAGGGCUAUAUAAUGUAAAACACUUUAUUUCAUUAAUUCAAACUUAUAAUAUCAUAUCUCCUCAUUUUUUUCACUUUUCAUAAAUAAACAAAGAAAAUUCUCAAAAAAAAUACUAUCCAUAUAAAACACAUAUUUGAUCCAUGCAAAAAGAUAAAAAUAAUAUUUUUACACAUUUCAAAAUACAAUGUAAAAAGGAAAUUAUUUUUCUUUUAUAAAAAUCUGCAUUAACUUCCCUUACCUUGAAAAAACACUCAAAAUCUUGAAGUAUUUAACUCUGAAGAAUUUCCUCCUCACCUAACAUAAUAUCAUACACAAUAUUGACUAUUGAUUAUUUAUCUAAAUAUAUAAAUUUGAAAAUUUUAAAAAUAUUUUAUUUAGUAUUAGGUAUCCUAAUUAAUUUCCCAUAUUAAUAUUAUUACCAUCCAAUAUUAUUUUCAACUUCCUAAACAAUAAUUUAUUUCUUUUUUUUAUAACUUAUCUAAAUUAAAUAUUUUAAGAAUAUUUAUUUGCAUUAAACUAUUAUUACUAUUAUUUAAAUCUCCCACCGAAAUUUAACAAAUACCUCAUGCAAUUGUUUUUUUUUUUUUUCAACAUGUCAAAUCCUUCCUACGUAUCUUUCAUAAUUUUUUUUUUCCUCUCUAAAGUAAAAACUUUUAACCUCCAUACUCACAAUUUUAUGUAAUUUUCACAUCCGAAACUAUAUAUAUAUUUUUUAUCUAGAUCUAUUCAUUUGACUAAUCAAAAUUUAUCAAUCUCCAUUAAUAAAUCAAACUAUGUUCAUAAAUUUUUAUCAUUUUUUGACUUAGAAAUUAAUUAAACGAACUCUAAUCAAAAUUGAGAUAUUCCAAAGAAUAUCUAAAGUAUUAUAAACUAAUUAAUAAAUAUAAAAUAUUAAUUUAAGGAUUAAAAAAUAUUACCUGAAAAAUUGAUCUUCAAACCCUAAACCUUCAAACCUUCAGCCCUAUGCUCUCUGAUCUUUCUGAUCUCUAUGUAAAAGGGUUUUCUAAAUAGAGAAUAUAGGAAAUAUCUAAUUUAUAUAUAAGGGUUUUAAAUACGAAAAAACGUUUUUACCCUUAUUAAAUUACUUUAAUUAAUUGAUAAUUUCUAAAUUACGAUUUUACCUCUAAAUUGGGUUUGGGGCAUUACAAAAAGAAUGUGCACCACCUGCCUUGCAUCCACAAAAAAUACACUAGUAGAAGUCUCUUUCUUUCUAUGUGUAUCAUAGAAAUCUCAAGGCAGUGCACUAGUGGACAACUUCCUCACCAAGAGAUGCACUCCAUUUCCAGGUUCCAUGACCAAUCUAAGGGCAGGUAGUGCUUGUACUUGGGGGACAAGGAGAAAGAGAAGUUACAGAGGACAAGAGCUAACAGUAUCUUGAGUUCAACCAUGACUAAGUUUUGUCCAAGACAGGCCCUUGGUAUAAGGUUGUUUCUUCUCUCUCUUUCACCACCUGUAGUAUCAAACUCUGAACCUCAUUUUGUAAUGUAAUGACCGGGUAUUUUUAGGUCAUAUUGGAAAUUUUAGUUGAAAAGUUUUCUUUUGAGUGGUGGUUGAAAAAUAAAAUAGAAAAGUGUGUUGAAGAACACGUGUAAAUUUUGGAUUGACGAAAUUCGAUUUAUUGUGUUGAUCAUUAGGCGAGUUGAAAAUUUUGUGCCACAUCAACCUUAUGGUAGAAGAUUUCUUAGGAUUUUAGAAAUUGAAAAUUUUCGGAAAAGAAAAACGAAAACGAAAAUGAAAAGUGAAUUAAUUAAGUAAAAACUAAAUUAAAUUGAGUAUUAAUAAAAUUGAGAAAAUUAAAUUUUUUGGGUUGGUGUUUAAUAAAUUAAAUUGUGUGUUAUUAAAAAAAAUUGGAAAUGAAAAAUAAGCAAAUGAAAAUAAAUAAAAGAAAAAAAAUAAAUCAAAAAGUUGGAUAAUGGGCCAUGAGAUAUGGGUUGUUAAAACAAAGGGAAUUAAUUCAUUGGGCCUUGGAUAUUGGGCCGUGGACCCGUGGUGGCUGUUGGUUAAGUAAAAAAAAAAAAAAAAAGAGAAAGUGGCAGAGGAGACUCGCGGGACUGUGGAGAUUGUUCUUGUCGCUAGAACUUGACUCGCCGUUUGGACGGUCAAACGAUGUACGUUUCGCUUGAAUUUUUGAGAAGGUGUUCCACUCGAUGAGAGGAACGAUCAUACGGUGGCCAAUUGUGAUUUUAAGGGUCGAAUUCUUAGAUUUGUAGUAGGGAAACCUAACCCUAAAAUUUUAAUUAAAUGCGUUUUUCAUUGAAUUUUUUUUAUAAAUCUUAUCAUUAUGAGUUAAGUAGGUAAUAUUGGUAUUGUAAGAAUUUUUUUGGAUUUUUUUGUAAUUUUGGGAAUUCUUUUUGGUUGAUAAAUAAUUGUUUUGGGUUGUUAAAAAUUAUUAGAAGUGUGAGAAAAUUCCGGUAUAAUUUCAAAUCUAGUAAUAUAUGAAUUUUUGAGAAGCAUCUAACCUCUAUGCUUCUCUAUUGCUCUUUGUAGGCAGGUGUCUGUAACAUUCAUCAAAUUAAACUAAUCAACUUCAAAUAUAAAAUCAGAUAAAUCAAAGAUUAUCCUGGUGACCAAGUUAUGGAGAGAGAUCUCAGGCCUAGAAUCCCACUAGUUAAACCUCUCUUGGACAGCCUCCUGGAGAGCUCUAAGCCUCAGGAAAAUCUGUUCCCCUUUGGAGUAAUUGCUCCCAAAACAAGCUCUUGAGAUCACAUCUCCAGAGAAGCUUCUCAUAUACUCAUCUAUCUUUAUGUCUGCAAGACCGCCCUCCGUGUCAAUUCUACUCUUCUAAGAGUUGAGCACUUUGACUGUAGAGUCUGAAAUCGGGUUCUGUUGGGUUGGGUUUUUUCCUUCUUGUGGAGGAAAGCCCAAAGCCCAAACAUUUAAGGCUUCUUAGGCCUUAAUGUAUAAAAGGGAAGAAGAAACCAUUUUCUCUUCUUCUUCUUCAUCUUUGCAGCCCUAGGAGGAGAGUAAGAAGAAAAAGGAAGAGAAAGUUGGAGAGAAAAAGGACCAAAGCCACUGAUUUUUGAAAUUAGAGAGAAGAAAAACGCUAAUUUCUUUUCUUCUCUUUACUGUCCAGAUUUCAUCAAACCUUCGUGUGUGGUCCGAUCGACCUGAAAUUUGAAGAAGAGAUUUUCAACUCAUUGAUCUCUAAUCUGAACGGUGGAGAUCGGAUUUGAAGUUCCGGAAGGUUGUUGUUUCAGUCCGUGAACAGUGCGUCUUGUUGCUGAUUUCUUCUCACCCGGGCAGUUCUGAUAUUCAGCCUUGAUCGAGAUUAAUCCGUGGUCUGAUCGAGAUGAUUUUUGGCUAGCACGUUCUUAACUCAUUGAUCUUCAUUUUGAACGGUGGAGAUUGGAUUUGGAGUUUGGAACAGUGGUGAUUUGUGUCCGGGAACAGUGACUCUAUUUUGGUGAGAUCUCUCCAUUGUUUUAUGCAAGUUGUUUUGUAUUUGCCAAGACUAAUUGUCUUGAGAUAUGGCUGAUGUAAACCUCUAGUUUCAUCUAGAGAGAAUUGUGUAACCCAUUGAUUAUAUUAGUGGAGGGUUUAAGUGGCUUAAGGGUCCCAUGGUUUUUACUUCUCACAUUUGGGAAGGUUUUCCACGCUAAAAAUUGUUGGUAUUCAUAUUCUUGUUGCAUUGGGUGAAUUGUUGCUACUCUAUUAAAUUGAUUCCUAUUAGGUUCUCACAAGAGGGGAUAAAAUCUGGUUGUGCAUUGUUUGCGUUUAUCCCAUCAAAGUGGUAUCAGAGCAUUGGUUCAAGAUAAUUUGUGCCUUGUGUAGAACAAUGGAAAGCAAUACAAGUAGAAUGAUCACUCUGAAUGGUUCCAAUUAUCAUGUUUGGAAAGGAAAAAUGGAAGACUUAUUGUAUGUGAAGGAUUAUUAUUUGCCUGUGUUUGCUUCUGAAAGGCCAGAAAAUAAAACUGAUGCAGAAUGGAAUUUACUUCAUCGACAGGUUUGCGGUUAUAUCAGACAGUGGGUAGAUGAUAAUGUUCUCAAUCAUGUUAGUGAAGAGAAACAUGCAAGGAGUCUAUGGAAUAAGCUCGAACAGUUAUAUGCUCGAAAGACUGACAAUAAUAAAUUGUUUCUAAUCAAGAAGAUGAUGAGUUUGAAGUAUCAAGAUGGAACUCCUAUGACAGAUCAUUUGAAUACAUUCCAAGGUAUUAUUAAUCAGUUGGUUGGAAUGAAUAUCAAGUUUGAGGAAGAGGUGCAAGGGUUGUGGCUUCUUGGUACAUUGCCGGACUCGUGGGAGACGUUUAGAACUUCUUUGUCUAACUCAGCCCCAGAUGGUAUUAUGAAUAUGGACUUAGUUAAGAGUUGUGUUCUAAAUGAAGAAAUGAGAAGAAAGUCACAGGGCUCUUCUUCACAGUCAAGUGUCCUAGUUAUUGAGAAGAGGGGGAGGAGUAAGAGUAGAGGUCCAAAGAACAGAGAUAGAAGCAAAAGCAAGACUAACAAGUUUGCCAAUGUUGAGUGCCACUACUGCCAUUUGAAAGGGCAUAUAAAAAAAUAUUGUCGCCAAUUGAAGAGAGAUAUGAAACAAGGGAAAGUGAAGGAAAAUAAGAAUGACAAUGGUGGUGAAGAUGAUCAAGUUGCCACUACCACUUCAGAUUUCUUUAUUGUUUAUGAUAGUGAUAUUGUUAAUUUUGCUUGCCAGGAAACCAGUUGGGUGAUUGACAGUGGUGCCUCCAUCCAUGCUACGCUUCGGAAGGAUUUCUUUACAUCCUACACAUCCGGUGAUUUUGGAAGUGUUAGGAUGGGUAAUGAUGGCUCAGCUAAAGCCAUUGGUAUGGGAGAUGUACGUUUGGAGACUAGUAAUGGUACUAUGUUGACUUUGAAGAAUGUUAAACACAUUCCGGAUAUUUGCAUGAAUUUAAUCUCCACAGGAAAGCUUGAUGAUGAAGGGUUCUGCAACACCUUCCGUGAUAGUCAGUGGAAGCUCACUAGAGGUUCUAUGGUGAUAGCAAAAGGAAAUAAGAGUUCCUCAUUGUAUUUGAUGCAGGCAAGGGUAAUUGAUUCCAGUAUCAAUGCAGUGGAUGAUGAUAGUACAUUUGAGCUUUGGCACAACAGGCUUGGUCACAUGAGUGAGAAGGGCUUGAUGAUUUUGGCUAAGAAGAAUCUUCUUUCUGGUAUGAAGAAGGGAUCUUUGAAGAGGUGUGCUCAUUGCUUAGCAGGAAAGCAGACCAGAGUUGCAUUCAAAACACUUCGCCAUACAAGGAAGCCAGGUAUGCUUGAUUUAGUGUAUUCUGAUGUGUGUGGCCCCAUGAAAACAAAAACACUUGGUGGAUCUCUAUAUUUUGUGACUUUUAUAGAUGAUCAUUCAAGGAAGAUUUGGGUUUAUACCUUGAAAACAAAAGACCAAGUGUUAGAUGUGUUUAAGCAAUUUCAUGCGCUUGUUGAAAGACAAUCUGGUGAAAAGUUGAAAUGUAUCCGGACUGAUAAUGGGGGUGAGUAUUCUGGUCCUUUUGAUGAGUAUUGUAGACAACAUGGUAUUCGACAUCAAAAGACACCUCCUAAGACUCCUCAGUUGAAUGGGUUGGCUGAGAGAAUGAAUAGGACACUGGUUGAAAGAGUAAGAUGCUUACUUUCGCAGUCACAGUUGCCAAGAUCUUUUUGGGGUGAGGCUUUGAAUACUGUUGUACAUGUUCUCAAUCUUACACCAUGUGUUCCUUUAGAAUUUGAUGUUCCGGAUAGAAUUUGGUCAAAUAAUGAAAUCUCUUAUGAUCACUUGCGUGUCUUUGGAUGCAAGGCUUUUGUGCAUAUUCCCAAAGAUGAGAGAUCUAAGCUUGAUGCUAAGACAAGACCUUGUGUAUUUAUUGGCUAUGGUCAGGAUGAGCUUGGUUACAGGUUUUAUGAUCCGGUGCAGAAAAAACUUGUAAGAAGUCGAGAUGUUGUGUUUAUGGAAGACCAUACUAUACAGGAUAUUGAGAAGACUAAUCCAAUGGAGUCUCAGCAUAGUGGUGAUUUGAUUGAUUUAGAUCCAGCUCCUCUAACAAAUCUUCCUACACAGGUUGAAGAUGAAGCACAUGAUGACCAACAUGACAUGGGUGAUGUUGAAACACCCACACAGGUUGAAGAUGAAGCACAUGAUGACCAACAUGACAUGGGUGAUGUUGAAACACCCACACAAGUUGAGGUGGAUGAUGAUGUUCAUGAGCAGUCACCAGCAGCAGAGGCUCCAUCAGAUAUUCCACUUAGAAGGUCUACCAGAGAUCGACAUCCUUCCACACGAUAUUCUGUUGAUGACUAUGUAUUACUAACUGAUGGGGGAGAACCUGAAAGUUAUGUGGAAGCCAUGGAAGAUGAAAAUAAGAUGAAGUGGGUUGAUGCUAUGCAAGAUGAGAUGGAGUCAUUGCAUGAGAACCAUUCUUUUGAGCUUGUCAAGUUGCCAAAGGGAAAAAGAGCUUUGAAGAACAGGUGGGUUUACAGAGUGAAGCAAGAAGAACACACUUCACAACCUCGUUACAAAGCUAGAUUGGUCGUCAAAGGGUUCAAUCAAAAGAAAGGUAUUGAUUUUGAUGAGAUUUUUUCUCCUGUUGUUAAGAUGUCAUCUAUUCGUGUGGUUUUGGGCUUGACAGCUAGUCUUGAUUUGGAGAUUCAGCAGAUGGAUGUUAAGACUGCAUUUCUCCAUGGUGAUUUAGACAAAGAAAUUUAUAUGGAACAACCAGAGGGUUUCGUACUAAAAGGGAAAGAGGAUUAUGUGUGUAAGCUGAAGAAAAGUCUUUAUGGCUUGAAGCAAGCACCGAGGCAGUGGUAUAAGAAGUUUGAGUCAGUUAUGGGGGAGCAAGGCUACCGAAAAACUACUUCUGACCAUUGUGUAUUUGUGAAGAAAUUCUCUGAUGAUGAUUUUGUUAUAUUGUUGCUCUAUGUUGAUGAUAUCUUGAUUGUUGGCAGGAAUGUUUCAAGAAUUGAUAGCUUGAAGAAGCAGUUAAGCAAAUCCUUUGCCAUGAAGGAUUUAGGGCCAGUAAAGAGAAUUCUUGGCAUCAGAAUUGAGCGGGAUAGAGCAUCCAAGAAGCUAUGUAUGUUACAAGAGCAAUAUAUUGAAAAGGUGCUUGCAAGGUUUAACAUGAGCAAAGCCAAAGUGGUUAGUUCUCCUCUAGCUAGUCACUUUAAGCUAAGCAGCAGACAUAGCCCUUCUACAGAUAAGGAGAAGGAAGACAUGAGAAGAGUUCCGUAUGCCUCAGCAGUAGGAAGUUUGAUGUAUGCUAUGGUAUGUACUAGACCAGACAUAGCUUAUGCAGUUGGUGUUGUUAGCCGGUUUUUAUCGAAUCCAGGAAGACAUCAUUGGGAAGCAGUCAAGUGGAUUAUGAGAUAUUUACGAGGCACUUCCAAGUUGAAACUCACUUUUGGAAGUGGGAAACCAAUACUUGUUGGAUACACUGAUUCAGACAUGGCAGGGGAUGUGGAUAAUAGAAGGUCUACUUCAGGCUAUUUGAUGACAUUCUCAGGAGGUGCUGUGUCUUGGCAAUCGAGACUACAGAAAUGUGUUGCACUUUCUACAACAGAGGCAGAGUACAUUGCAGCAGCAGAAGCAUGUAAAGAGUUGUUGUGGAUAAAGUGUUUCAUGCAAGAGCUCGGGUUUAAACAACAGCGCUAUGUGGUAUACUGUGAUAACCAAAGUGCUAUUCACCUCAGUAAGAAUUCUACCUAUCAUGCAAGAUCAAAACACAUUGAUGUGAGGUAUCAUUGGAUGAGAGAUGCUCUCAAUGAUAACUUGUUUGAAAUUGAGAAAAUACAUACAGAUAACAAUGGCUCGGAUAUGUUGACAAAGACACUACCAAGGGAGAAGCUUGGAGUUUGUUGUUCCAUCGCUGGGAUGGUGAGUCCCUCCACAUAGUCGGAAAGGGGGAGAUUUGUUGGGUUGGGUUUUUUCCUUCUUGUGGAGGAAAGCCCAAAGCCCAAACAUUUAAGGCUUCUUAGGCCUUAAUGUAUAAAAGGGAAGAAGAAACCAUUUUCUCUUCUUCUUCUUCAUCUUUGCAGCCCUAGGAGGAGAGUAAGAAGAAAAAGGAAGAGAAAGUUGGAGAGAAAAAGGACCAAAGCCACUGAUUUUUGAAAUUAGAGAGAAGAAAAACGCUAAUUUCUUUUCUUCUCUUUACUGUCCAGAUUUCAUCAAACCUUCAUGUGUGGUCCGAUCGACCUGAAAUUUGAAGGAGAGAUUUUCAACUCAUUGAUCUCUAAUCUGAACGGUGGAGAUCGGAUUUGAAGUUCCGGAAGGUUGUUGUUUCAGUCCGUGAACAGUGCGUCUUGUUGCUGAUUUCUUCUCACCCGGGCAGUUCUGAUAUUCAGCCUUGAUCGAGAUUAAUCCGUGGUCUGAUCAAGAUGAUUUUUGGCUAGCACGUUCUUAACUCAUUGAUCUUCAUUUUGAACGGUGGAGAUUGGAUUUGGAGUUUGGAACAGUGGUGAUUUGUGUCCGGGAACAGUGACUCUAUUUUGGUGAGAUCUCUCCAUUGUUUUAUGCAAGUUGUUUUGUAUUUGCCAAGACUAAUUGUCUUGAGAUAUGGCUGAUGUAAACCUCUAGUUUCAUCUAGAGAGAAUUGUGUAACCCAUUGAUUAUAUUAGUGGAGGGUUUAAGUGGCUUAAGGGUCCCGUGGUUUUUACUUCUCACAUUUGGGAAGGUUUUCCACGCUAAAAAUUGUUGGUAUUCAUAUUCUUGUUGCAUUGGGUGAAUUGUUGCUACUCUAUUAAAUUGAUUCCUAUUAGGUUCUCACAAGAGGGGAUAAAAUCUGGUUGUGCAUUGUUUGCGUUUAUCCCAUCAGGUUCAUCAUUCCCUGAAAUUUGUCACAAGAUGUUUUGUGUUUGGGUUUCAUCAUGUGUGUGUAUAUACAGUGGCUGAUCAACAAUCAGCAUUGAGUAUAUAAUAGCUAGCUAUUUGAAUCAUACCUUGACCUUGUCCAUGUACAAUUCAGGAGCAAGGAUUUUCCUAUGAUGUGCCCAGAUGGCACCAUUGGAGGUCAGAAUGCCCUGGCCAAGCGAAGGACCUCGCUCUUUGUGCUGAUAAGAAGGCUUCUCCAAGUCCAAUGAUGUGCAGGUGGUGAUUUCUCUCACCAAAUCUGGCUGGUUCACAUAUAAUAUUUGUAUGUCGCCAAGAGAAAACAUGAACACUUGACCUAAACAAUGUCUGAUGGGUCAUUGAAUGAAAUUAAAAUAAACCAACAAGAAGUGAGAAUAUCAUGGAUGAAUGGAUGGGUGAAACGUACCGUACUCUUCUCUCUAGUUGACCAAGAAGGGAAAGACAAGGUCACAGUUGUGCGAGAGAGAGGGAGCUACUUCACUGGCUCUGGCUGUGGAUACAACCUUUUUUUAUCUCCCUGAUGUUCCCCAACAAAAUAGUUGGAGCUGGUCCCCUGAUCCCCUGCUUCCUCAGCUUUGAUCGAAGCCUCUCCGGCUUCAACAUCAAAACCUGAUACAGACGUACUAGCAAACCCAACACACUAACCACUGCAACUGAUAUCAACAACCUGAAAACCAUCCCAAGGACCUCCAUGCAGCUGCCCACCUUUUCUUCUGAACCGAGUAGGUAAGACUUAGAACACAGCCGACUUAGAACGCAAAGAAGACGAAUUAAUAGCUUUCAUCUCAACAUGCAAAAAGUGUGGAUGGAUGUAUUUUAAAGAUUAUAAUUUUGGAAUUGAAUUAUUAGGGAUAAACAAGGGUAUUAAAGGGAAAGCAAAUCACUCCAUUUCCUUUGAUUCCUGCGGAAUGAACUAAACUAAGCUUGAAGGUUACAAGUGGGGAACAAUGUUGGUACGUGGGUGCUCUUGUUGGAAUUUGGAAAACGACCUGAACUUAAUCUAAAUCAACUGGCCAUCUAUAAGAUUCCCUGGACAAAUCCUAGAUAACAAAUACUUAGCAAAAAUGAUUCUCCAUCAAACAGGGCUCUUAUGUCAUAUCUGUUCUACAUGCACUUUCGAAAAAAUAUGCUCCUCCCUUAGUUUUCUCAGCCCGGGUUAAAGGUGAUUUUUCUUGUAAAAACUCUGCACUUGCACUGGAUUAUUUCAGAUAUUUGCUUUCAAUCAGGAUAGUAUCAGUGUGGAAGAGAUAGAAAAAGUAUAAAUUUCCUACAAAAAGCCAUGGAGAUGGUACAAACAUGGUUCUCUUGUUAUUGCAUGCUAAGUUGUUACUCUGAUAUGGUGUAUAACUAGCAACCAAAGAAUUCUUAGUCAUAUUUGAUACCAAAUUUUUUUUAAUUAAUAAUCUCAUUAUGUUUAGAUGUCAUGCAAAGUGUGAGAACAAAAAUACUAAAAAAAUAGGGAAAAUGUCAAAAGAUUUUCCAUAUGUUGUUUAGAUAAAGGUGGAGAAAGUUUUAGAAAAGUACAUUUUUAAUAAUUUAAUUUUUUUACCUUUAAACUCAAUAUUGGCAACCAAAUAAGAGGAAAAUUUUAUAAGUCUUUUGACUAGUCGAUUUAGAGCGACUUAAUAUCUAUGAUUUAACUUGAUAUUUCAUUAUUUCAAGAGUAAUUUUAUCUUAACAAUCAUUAUUUUUAUUGUUUUAGGUCUCAAAUAGCCAAGAGUAUGAAAAUGAAGUAAUACGAGGCAAAAUUGGAAGAAAAAUAUGAAGUUUGACGAAAAUGUGAAAACCGCCACGACGGGAGUCCUCAAGCGUCGCGGCGGCCCCUUAUGUGACAAUUUGAGUGACUUACCCGAGAGAAAAACACUGCGGCGGGAAGGACUUAAGCACCACUGUGCACGCAUAUGGAAAAUCAUAGUUGAGGACCCUAGACAAAACCAUCGCGGUAGGAGGAACUUGUUCGCCGCGACGCCCGAAGGAAUUUCAUAAAUCCUCAAGACCCAAAACUAAAGCACCGCGGUGGGAGGCAUUGAGCGCUGCGGCGGGAUAUUUAAAAUUUGAAAAUUAUUUGUUCUUAUCUCAUCUUGUUCAAAUCCGAAUUAGGUGGGACUUGAGUUUGUGAUACCAGGGCUAUAAAUAGACGAAAGUAGGGUUUAUUUCGGGAGGAGAGAGACCUGGGAGAAGAAAGAGCAGAGAGAACAAGAAAGGGAUUUACAGACUUUCUUCUAUUUUUCUAGUUUAUUCUUCCAUUUUCUUAAUGAUUGCAAUUCAGGAUGUUUAUUCUUCAUUUUAAUGGGAGCUAAUUUCCUUUGUCUAGGGUUAAGAUGUAGCUUAAUCACGAUUUAUGUUUUUUUUAUUAGUUUAAUUUAAUUAUCUGUUUUGCAUCAAUUUAUUUGUAUAUCUAUUCUGCACUGAAAGCUCUCAAUUCUUAAGGGCCUAAGUUUUGAUUGAAUUUAUGAUUUAGGUUGAUAACGAGAGUUAGAAUCUAAAUUAGUCCAUAGAAUAGAUUACGUUAAAAUGAAUGAAUAGUAGAGAUACAUUACCAUGUUCUAAGAGAUUAAUAGUUAAAUCUAUAAUAAUUCCAUAGAUCUUAAUUACUCCUUUAGACUUAAAUUCACAUAGAGAUAUGCUAGGUUAGUAAUUUAAGGAGCAAUCUGAUAUAUUUUGAGAGAAAAUAUUGGUUAGCUUAGGGAAUUAAAUCUCCAAAUAAAGCAUAACAGAAAUUAGGUUAAGUAAUCAAUUGCAUGAAAGUGUUUGUAGUGAAAUCAAAAGCCCUAGAUCGUUUAAAUCAUAAGAGUUUGAAUUUAGUUUCUUUAAUUGUUUAAUUUACUUUCUUCUGUAACAUUAAAAAAUUGGUUGAUCAAAUAGUAGUAGAAAUAAUAAAUUUUAGUAAUUAGUAGCAUAGUCCUUGUGGGUUCGAUAUUCAUACUUAGGUACAAUCAAUUACUUGAACGAUUCGUAUACUUGCGAAUUUGAACAAGUUUUUAACGCCAUUGUCAAGGACUAUUUGUUACUAAUAUUAAUACCAGUUAUUUCUUUGCUAAUUUGAUUUAUUUUCUUUUUAUUCUUACUCAAUUGUUUUUCUUUUUUUAGGUUUUCUUAGUGUAUGAGACGUACAAGGAGUUUGGACUUAGUGCCAAUUGACAUUGAUAUCGACAAAACACUGCGAUAACUAAAUCGGGAACGCAAGCAACAAGUAAUUCAAGAGGUUCCUAUAAUGUGGGAUGAGAAUCACGGUGAUAAUGAAGUCCCAAAUAGGGCACUCAAGGAUUAUUUUGUUCCUAAUGUGGGUGUCUCAAGCAUUCGAAGGCCACCCAUCCAAGCUAACAAUUUUGAGAUCAAACCGGCAAUUAUUCAAAUGAUUCAAUCUUCUAUUCAAUUUAGAGGAUUGGCCAAUGAUGAUCCUAAUCUAAAUAUAGCAAAUUUCUUAGAAAUUUGUGAUACUUUCAAGCAUAAUGGUGUGACCGAUGAUGCAAUAAGACUUCGAUUGUUUCCAUGCUCUCUAAAUAACAAGGCUAAGGCAUGGUUAACUUCAUUACCUUCGGGAACAAUCACUACAUGGGAUGGACUGGUUAACGCUUUUAUUGCUAAAUACUUCCCACCAACAAAAUAUGCAAAGAUGAGGAAUGAUAUAACUAACUUUUUACAGCAAGAUCAAAAGUCCCUUUAUGAAACUUAGGAGAGGUUCAAAGAUCUUUUAAGAAAGUGCCCACACCAUGGCCUAUCAAUGUGGAUGCAAGUGCAAACGUUCUACAAUAGUUUGCAUCCUAAUACUCAAACCAUGGUGGAUGCAGCAAGUGGAGGAGCUUUUAUUAAUAAGAUACCGGAAGAGGGAUAUUAGCUUAUAGAAGUGAUGGCUAGCAACAAUUUCUUAAAGUCUACGGAUAGAAAUACACAAAAGAGGACAACCGACGUUCAUGAUAUCGAUGCUUUUAAUAAUUUGGCUGCUCAAGUUGCAAUUUUAAAUAAUAAUUUUAAGAAAAUGAAUGUUGAUGUCGUUUCUAAAGUAGUUUGUGAAAAUUGUGCAAGUAACCAUCCUAGCUUGGAGUGUCAAGCUGAAGGCCCAUAUGAAGCAAAUUCAUCCGAACAUGUGAAUUAUGUGGCCAAUAAUCAACGUCAAUACAAUCCCAACUUGAUUCGUGCCCAGUUGGUGUAUGUCCUGUUGAUUGGUGUUCAAUCAACUGGUGUGCCUUGAUUUCGGUCCUCAGACAGGAGUAAUCAACAAAAUUUAUAAACCUAUUUCACCAUGUACUAGGGUAGCAUUAGCUAGCAUAGCAUAGUGGCUCUAGGAUCGUUCACUGGGAUGAGUUUUCAAAUUACAACUGAUAUUAGUUCAAAGCUGAAUUGGUGCUUUUUCUUUUCAAGGUUAGCUUUAAAAGAAAACAUAAAGAUGUUUGAAAAGGUUGGUUUUUAAGUGAAACCAAUAAUAAAGUAACAAAAAUUGCUUACAAAGAAAAGUGCUUCUUGGAGUUUUUAGAUCAUUGGGCUCAGGUUCCUUAUACAAAAAGAGAGUUCCGGUCACUUGAAUCUUUUCCUCGUAUUGGGGAUUUAACAUAUAGUUAUUUCCUGAACCGGUGUGGUAUAGAUGUUUCUCCUUAAUGGAUUCAAACACUAAUUCCCUGUCAUUGAAUCAUCUUGCAAUGGUUCAUACCUCUCACCUAGUAUUGGCCAUUCAAAGUGAUCCUUAACCUUGGAUUACUCGUCAAAAGCUCGUAAGAGAUAACUAAUGGAUGUCUCAUUGGAGUCCAAAAGCUUACCAAGUGUUGGCUAUUCUAGAAAAUCCUACCUUUAAACCACCUCCCAAAGGCUUGCAAGAGAUAAACUAGUGUAACUCAAUGGACGGAGUCCACUUGCCUUAUCAAAUGUUGGCCCAGGUGAUUUUAAGGCAUUUUAAGUUAACCAAAAAGAUAAAAACCAUUAGCGGAUCACACUUUCUCUUCAUUAAAAACUGAAACAAUAAAACUUCCAAUUUUUGCAUUCGGAACCUUACCAGCUCCUUCACUCCAAGAAACAAAAAGCCUAGCCACUCAUCCUCUAGGAAAACAUCCUCAGAGUUUGUUUGGCUAGUGAGAAAAAUACAAUCAAAAUGAGUAGGUAAGGAAGAACAAAACUUUGUGUAUUACUUUUUUCUCAAACUAUACAAAGUUGGUCUCUGAGAAAAACUCCCGAGAUAUCAUUUUUAAAAGAAAAUUACAAUAGAUUAUAUAGAAAGGCUAUUCACCCUUCCUUCUUACUUCAUAACUAAGAAAUCCUAUGAUUGGUGGAUUACAAGGAGAAAAUAUGGAUUUAAACAAAAAAUAUUUGAAGAAAAAAUCUAACAGAGUUGGUCGCAAAUAUCUGGGAUUACACAGGUGGAUUUCGCAAGUUGAAACAUGACUUGCAAAAAUUUCGCAAGUUGAAAUUGUCCAUUUCGCAAAUUGAACUUUGAUUUCGCAAGUUGAAUUUGUGAUUUCGCAACUUGCGAAAUUGUCUUUUAGCUUGAUGAGGUUGUCUUCCAAUGACCAUAACUUCUUCAUUUCAGCUCCGAUUUGCACACAGUUUGAAGAGUUAGACUCUUGACUUCCCGAGCUUCGAAAGAUAUAUAGUAUGUAUAAAAUGGACUCUAGGAAGUGCUCAAAAUAUGUCCUGCAGCUGCUCUCCUCUUGAAUUUCUUUAUGUUAGAUUCCUCUCUCUGUUUUUCCUCCUUGCAUUCUUGAUUGACUUUGGCAAAGGACUACAAAGCUCCAAAGCUUGGAUUCUUCAUGUAAAUGAGCUUCUAUUUGCUUUGCCAAGGACUAUACAGAGCUCUCCCUCAUUCUUGGAUUGCUUUGGUGAUAAAAAAGCUAUCAAAAACACCAAAACUUGCCAUAAUUUGAUUAGAAACACUUGCAAGGGUCCUUAACGUGUCAAUUGAGUUAAAAGGUAAAAACUACUACUCAAAAGUGUUUAAAAAAGUUAAUUAUAAGCUAUAAAAUAGCACGUUUUGAGUAGUAAUCACUCCCCCCAACCAACAUAUUGCUAGUCCCUUAGCAAUGAAGGAGAGAAAAAGAAAAAUAAACAGUACUAUAAUUUACAACAUUAUGCUGAUCACUUCAAAAAAAAAUUUCAAGUGGCAUGAUGAUCAAACUCUCUCAUGGAACAUUAAAGAUAUAAAACUCAAACUUCAACAAGAGUUAUCAAAUAACUUGUCUAAUCACAAUUCAUAAAGAGAAGAUAUUAUGCAAAUUUAAGCUUCAAAAUAAUUUCCACUCCCAAAGGGUCAAUCCUAACUCUUCCACAAAAAUCUAUGUGUUACUUAUUAGUUUUCAAAUAUAGUAUGCUGAACUAAUCUCUCCCCCCAACCUAGUUCUUUUUCAAAUCUUAGCAAACUGACAACCUUCAAUAGGCUAAGAACACACCUCAUUCAUUUCACACAUUUUUUCUUGUAGGAGUACAAAGCUUAAAGGUAUUUUUUUCUAAAUUGUCCAUGUAACGAGGGUCCAUCGAUGACUUCCAACCAAUUAAGGUUUAGGGCAUCAAGCUUUAAGGAUCUUUCAACCACUAACUCCUCGGAUUUUACCCAGGACUUUUGAGAAUGAAUUUUAAUACCCAAGCACCUACAGUAUGUUAAACUCCACCUAUUCACCCUUGUAACGAGCAUUGAGGUCGGUGAAUCCCAACCAAUGAAGGCUUAGGGCACCAGGUUUUAAAGAUUUUCACCAUAUACCCCUCAGACCUUACUCGGGUUUCAAGGCAAGUAAAACAUUUUUUAUUUCUUUCUUUUUUUUCAAAGGCUCAUUGGUCUUUUAUAAGGUGUCCCAACACUAUUAAAAUGAGGUCAAAAGUACCAAGUCUAAAUUUUCCUAAGUCAAGGGGGUGAAAUAGUUUUUCAUCUUAUAAUCGGAACCUAGUGUGCACAGUGUGUGAAUAGCUUAAAGUGGAAGAAAUAAGGUUGAAUUCAAUAUAAGUUUCAACAAUUCAUCAACUUCAAUAAGCAUAAUACAAAUUCUAAGUCAAGUAAAAAAACAAAAAUUCAAUUUCUCCCAUUUCAUUUUGAGAAUUUUUCCUUAAUAACCAUGGAGAGUAGAAUAAAAAGUUUAAUUUUUUUUUAAAAUUAAGCAAAAAACAACUAAUUAUCAAAUAACUUAGCAUUUAUAGCAAAACUUCCUUCCUCAACUCUCUUCCCCCCAACCAAGCUGAACAUUGCCCUCAAUGUGGCAAGAGCGAUUGAAAAUACAGGGAGGAAGUGGUGCCUCCUGAGUGACAUGAGGUUUGAGUCGUAUAAGAGAAGCCACAUGAUUCAAAAACAACAAAAAAUAUAUGAGUAGAGGAAAUAAAAUAAUAGUAUGCCAAGUAUACUAAAAAAUGGUGGAUGUGUAUUACUUUAAGAAAGUACAAUAUGAACUAUGAACAAGUAAUACAUCCAAUCCCAGUAUAUAAAACAUAAAAAACAUGGGAUUACGAGUUCUACUAUAAUAAGUAAAUACAAAAAGUAGAUAGAUGAUCAGGUAGUGGUGGGAGAAUCGUGUGGAGACGAUGGCUUGGUUGUGGUAGUUUGAGUGCUUUGGAUCGGAGUCUCGAUCUCUACUGUAGUAGUCUCCUCAUGGGGCACAGUCUGCUCUGCUGGAGGAGCCUCCUAAGAUGGAUCUGUAGGCUCUGAUGGACUAGGCAUAUCAUGCUCGGGUGGCAUCAAAAUACCUAAAUGCUACUAUAUCUCCCUAAGGAUGGCAGUAUGCUGGGUCUGCAUGGCAAUAAGCUGAUCCCGAUGUGCACGUAUGACUGCCAUCUGCUGGGCAAGAAUGCUCUGAGUGAUAGUUAAUGUCUGCAAUGUAUGACAUAGACCUCUGAACUCUGGAGCAGAUAUGGUGAUAGUAGACUCAGAUGGAGGAGUAGAUGUAGCUAGUACGAAUGGUGGAGUCCCAAGAGUGGUAGGAGGAGUAGAAGAUGUAGCCUUAGGCAUGGUCACUGUAAAAGGUGCUGCAGGGGCAGGUGGUAUGAUCUUUGUAGGUAUCUCAACCUGCUGUGGCUACUGUGGUUGCUCAUCCUGUGGUAUCUCUGGAUGUGCUAGCCUAGUUGGGGCUCCUGGAGGUGCAACAUAAGUCGUCAUAUGAUUCCAUUUGUCGAGAGUGAAUAUCUCUCGGCAAAUGCGUCGACGCUCAAGCUGAGGCUUAGAAGGAUAGCCUAAAUGCUCUAAUAUCCGAUAGAGCAGCCUAGGAAAAAGUAGUGGAAUGACAUCUGCUCUCUAUAGCUUCUUCCUAUGGACCUUCUUUUCAAAGUAAAGAAGAGAGGUCAUAAUCAAAUGAUGAGAGUCAAAGUAAAAACCCUCUAAUAUCCUGAAUAAGGCAUCUAGUAUAGCUCCUCUCCUCUGCACCAUAUGCUGAAGUGGAAAUAUGUUGGAGCACAACAACAUAUCCAGAAGAAACAUCCCAGGUGGAAGCUCCUUCUUAAAAAGAAAUGAGCGUGUAGAUGUCCCCCUGGACAAUAUACGGACCAUGUCGCUCUGAGAAAAAUGAGCCCACUCUCUGUAAUCUGCUGGACUCACAGGCUAAUAUGGAAUGUGCAGGGCCUCUGCAAUGUGUCUGGCUCCUAAGAUACCAUGACAUCCAUCAAUAGUGAAGUGGAUGACAGUAGGAUCCCGGACGCGAUGUGUAGUCAUAGACUGAUAAAAGUCUAAUGCUACUCGGGGAUAGAAGACAUCCCUUGGAGUCAUCAGGUGCUCCAAAUGGUAUCUCUACAAUAAGUGGAAUGAAUCUUUGAGCUCCGGCUGGUGUUUGAAAGUCUCUCUAUCAAAGCAUAGCUCGGAGUGGAAUGGCCUAGCUCGGCAAUCCAAAUUUCCCUCUAUAGGUGGUUGUGUAACCAUAGGUCACUUGAUAAUCCCUUCCGGAGUCAUCUCAUAAGGAAUCUGAGACUCUGUAGUAGGCGGCUGAGGCUGUGGAGGUGCUGAUGACUCUCCUGGGCCUCAAACUCUGGCUUUCUUUGCAGGAGGGCGACGAUCAAAUAAUUAGGAGAUGUGUGCCGGAAGAGGAGAUGGAGAGUAUUCUACAUCAUUGUCAUUCCCGUGAAGUUGGAAGACAUUUUGGAGCUACUAAAACUGCAACCAAAUUUUUACAAUCAGGAUUUUAUUGGCUUUCUCUUUUUAAAGAUUCAUUUAAUUUUGUUGCCAAUUAUGAUAGAUGUCAAAGGGUUGAGAAUAUAUCUAGGAAAAAUGAGAUGCCUUUAACAAAUAUUUUAGAAAUAGAAUUUUUUGAUGUAUGGGGUAUUGAUUUUAUGGGUCCUCUUCCAUCCUCUCAUGCUAAUUGUUUUAUUUUGGAUGUUGUAGAUUAUGUUUCCAAAUGGGUUGAAGCUAAGGUGGUGCAGACCAAUGAUGCUAGGGUGGUGGUUAAAUUUCUUAAGAAGAACAUUUUUGCAAUAUUUGGUACACCAAGAGCUAUCAUAAGUGAUGGGGGAUCUCAUUUUUAUAAUAGUCAAAUUGAGUCACUAUUGGGUAAAUAUGGAGUAACACAUCAUAUAACUACUCCUUAUCAUCCACAAAAAAAUGGUCAAGUUGAGGUAUCUAAUUGUGAGCUCAAGCGAAUUAUGGAGAAAACAGUUAAUUCUUCUAGGAGGGAUUGGUCAAGUAAGUUGGAUGAUGCUUUAUGGGCUUAUAAAACGACAUUCAAGACACUUAUUGGGAUGUCUCCAUAUCAAUUGGUUUAUGGUAAAUCGUGUCAUCUUUCAAUUGAGUUAGAGCACAAAUCAUUUUGGGCUGUUAAAUUUUUGAAUUUUGACUUAUGAACUGUAAGGGAGAAGAGAUUGUUACAAUUAAAUGAGAUGGAGGAGUUUCGUAAUAAUGCUUAUGAGAAUGCUAAGAUUUAUAAGGAUAAGGCAAAAAGAUGGCAUGAUAAGUAUAUUCAGAAGCGCAAUUUUAAAGUUGGUCAACAAGUUCUCCUUUUCAACUCACGUCUCAAGCUUUUUCCAGGUAAAUUAAGAUCACGAUGAUCUGGUCCAUUCAUAGUUAACAAGGUUUUACCAUCAUGAGCAAUAGAAGUUCAUCAUCCAUCAAAUAGAACUUUUACAGUGAAUGAGCAACGAUUGAAGCAUUAUUUGGGAGGCAAUUUUAGCAUCAAAAUGGUGUCUGUUGUGCUUUCAAUUCCGAAGUAGAAGAGUGGAGAAAGUUUAGCUAAUGACUUAAAUUUUAGCGUUUUUUGGGAGGCAACCCAAUUUAUUUUGAGCAAUUUUUAUUUUUGAAUUUUGAAUUAUUUUAGUUGUUAGGAUUUUAAUCAAUUUUGUUUUAAUUUUAAUUUAGUUAGUGAAUUUUUAGAGUUAAUUAUUUGCUAGUUUAGGAAUUUUUUUUAUUUGUAUAAAAUUUUAAGUACUUUUCCUUUAUUUUCAAGUGAAAAAGGGUUUUUUACAUACUCAGUGAAAAACGUCAUGGUGGGCUCUUCAAACUAUGCAUGAUAAGAAAACCCGAGGCUAAACUACCACGGUGGGUAAGGCUUUGCGCUGCAGUGGUCACACCCAAUUGAGUUUAACUCAUAAAAAUUAGAGUUUUGCGCCGCAACGGAAAGACUUGAGCGUCGUGGCGCGAUAAGUAAGUGGGCAUUUUAAGGGCCAUUUUCCUUCAUUUUUCACGAAAAGUUUUUCUCAUUCUCUCAUUUUCUCAUUUUCUCUCAAUUUUCUCUCUAUCUUCCAAUCUUAAUCAUAUUUAUACCUUGAAUUCUUUGCUUUCUUUUGGAUGACUCACGGGUUUUAGAGAUUUGGCAAGAUUGAAGAUUCAUUUGGUGUAAUUUUGGAAGGGGAAUCGCAAAUUCAAUCCUUCUUCUUGUUGGGUCACGAUUUAGGGUGAUUGUUUUUUCCUUUUUGUUGCAAUUUGGUAAGGAUUUCUACCUUUUAUUUUUGUUUUUGUGAUUUGUUACUGGAUUGAAUAUUGUGUUGAAUAUGGAUGCAUCUAGUAGCAAAAAAAGGAAUGGCAAGGGUGUGAUACAAUUUGAUAAAACCAAAUUUGUUAAUGAAAAUGCCCAAAAUAGAUAUUAUGACCCUGUUUCAAACCAAAAUCUGAUGGCUAAGAGGGGUUUAUGUGUAACUGGAAUAAAUUGGCCAACCAUUACUACUAAUAUUAGGGAGAGAAAAUGGGAUAGUUUUUGUGCUCAACCUCAAGCUGCUAUUGUUCCGGUUGUUAGGGAAUUUUAUGCUAAUGUGCCUGAACAUCAUCACCGAAAGGUAUUUGUGAGAGGAAAACAAGUAGAUUUCAAUGGACAUGCUAUUAAUGUUUUUUUUCAACUUUCCUGAUAUUGAAAAUGAUGAUUAUACUAAUUUUCUUGGUAGAUAAAUUGAUUAUCAAGAUGUAUUAAGGACUAUUGCAGUUAUGGAUACUCAAUGGAAGAUGUCAGACGAUAAGUCGGUCACCUUCCCAAGUAUUGGGUUAACUAAGGAAUGUAAAUCUUAGUAUUAUUUCUUGGCGGUGAGGUUGAUGCCAGUAAGACAUUUUAGUGACAUUAAUAAACAGUGGGCAGUGCUUCUAUAUUCUAUUGUUACUGGAAAGUCUCUGGAUUUGGGGAAAUUUUUAUCAUCUCAUAUCAUUCAAUGUGAUAAUUCAUCCAUGUCCUUAUUUUAUCUGUCAUUGAUUACUGUUAUGUGCACUGCUAGUGGGGUCCAAUAUGGACCGAAUGAGGAGUCUUUAGCUCCUAUGUCGGCAAUAACGGAUAAUAAGGUGCAGGCAAUGAAGGGAAAUUACAAAAUGGGGCCAGUUGUUCAGGGUUCACAAGCAAGGUGACAGUCUUCUUCUUCAAGGCCCCUUACUAUGGUCGAGUGUAUGGAAGGAUUAGAGGGCUAGGUUACUCAUAGUUGGUCUAGUAUGGUGAUUUUGAUAACGAUCAUGUUUUGCAUGCUUAGAGACAUUUUAUUUAGACAAUUGUGGAUGAUUAGAGAUCUUAACAAAUUUUAAAACUUGGUUGAUUGUUAAUCGAGGUGAAAUCCUAGAUUUUCAUGUUACUUGGGAGAUGAUUUAGGUCAUUUUUGGUUCGUUUUAGUUUUUCUUACCUUACCCAGAAUAUUUUAUCUGCUAGUUACCUAUUUGAGACUUUUAUAUAAUGUUAGCCUUAUUUUUCUUUCUUUAAGCAUGUCUUCCUACCUAUUUUAAGCCUUAUCACUUAUCCUUACCCUUGUUGAGAACAUUUACAUGUUUGUUAUUUAUUUUGUUUGAGAGCAAAAAAUUAUUUUAUUAAGGAGGAAAUGAUGGAAAAGUGUAUUGUUAACCCCAGUUAUAAUAGAGAAAUAAGUUUGGGGGUUUUGAAGAAUCAAAGGAAGAGUGUAUGUGAAAAAAGAAGGAAAAGAAUGGCAUUAGUGGCGAAAUAUGUGAAAAGUGGUUAUGAACACGAAAGAAAGAAAAAGUAUGAAAAGUUUCAAGAAGAUAUAAAGUGAUGUUAGAUUAAAAGCUAUUGAGUUUGUUACAUUUUGUUCAAUUGUGAGUGUUCUCAUUCUUUGAAUUUAUCCUUUCCAUUCUUUUUGAGCCAACACCUUAGCCUAACAUUACAAGCUUAUUAAAGACCUUUUGAUCCGAGGUAACAUGAUGAGUCUACAUUAGUGGAGAGUGACAGGAAAGCUAAGCCUAUGAGAUUUUAUGUCAUACAUUACUUUUUAGAGGUCAACUUUGUCUAUAAUUUUUUUUUUAUAAAAUUAUCCGAGUAGUAGAAUUGAUUGUUUGAGAGAUUGCUUACUUGGAUCUUUCGGAAGAUUGAAGGUUUGAAUGGAAUGAAUGUUUGAGUGACCCUUCUAAUUUUUGUAAUGUUCGAUAGAUUCUUAACGACUUUGUGUUAUUAGUAUUUUUUUAGACAAUAUUAUGAAAUAAACUUGAUGAAUGAAUUUGAUUCUUGAAGUUUGAUAAGUUUUGAGUCUUGAUUUAGUUUGUGAUUUAAUUGUUUUUAGGAUAGUUUUACGUUAGAUUUUUUUUUGUUUUUGCUCGAGGACUAGCAAAAUGUUAAGUUUGGGGGAGUUUGAUAAGUCGAUUUAAAGCGACUUAAUAUCUCUGAUUUAACUUGAUAUUUCAUUAGUUUAAGAGUAAUUUUAUCUUAAAAAUUAUUAUUUUUAUUGUUUUUGGUCUCAAAUAGCCAAGAGUACAAAAAUGAAGCAAUACGAGGCAAGAUUGGAAGAAAAAUAUGAAGUUCGGCGAAAAUGUGAAAAUCGCCACGGCGGGAGCUCUGAAGUGCCGUGGCAGCCCCUUACGUGACAAUUUGAGUGACUUACCCAAGAGGAAAGCGUCACGGUGGGAAGGACUUAAGCGUCGCAGGGCGUGCAUGUGGAAAAUCGUAGUUGGGGACUCGAGACAAAAGCAUCGUGGUGGAAGGCAUUGAGCGCCGCGACAUGAUAUUUAAAAUUUGAAAAUUAUUUGUUCUUAUCUCAUCUUAUUCAUAUCUGAAUUAGGUGGGACUUGAGUUUGUGAUACCAAGGCUAUAAAUAGACAAAAGUAGGGUUUAUUUCGAGAGGAGAGAAACCUGGAAGAAGAAAUAGCAGAGAGAACAAGAAGGGGAUUUUGCAGACUUCCUUCUAUUUUUCUAGUUUAUUCUUAAUGAUUGUAAUUCAGGAUGUUUAUUCUUCAUCUUAAUAUGAGCUAAUUUCCUUUGUCUAGGGCUGAGAUAUAGCUCAAUCACGAUUUAUGUUUUUUUUUUAUUAGUUUAAUUUAAUUCUCUAUUUUGCAUCAAUUUAUUUGUGUAUCUAUUCUGCACUUAAAGCUCUCAAUUCUUAAGGGCCCAAGUUUUGAUUGAAUUUAUGAUUUAGGUUGAUUACAAGAGUUAGAAUCUAAAUUAGAUCUAUAGAAUAGACUACGUUAGAAUGAAUGAAUAGUAGAGAUACAUUACCAUGUUCUAAGAGAUUAAUAGUUAAAUCUAUAAUAAUUCCAUAGAUCUUAAUUACUCCUUUAGACUUAAAUUCACGUAGAGAUAUGCUGGGUUAGUAAUUUAAGGAGCAAUUUGAUAUAUUUCGAGAGAAAAUAUUGGUUGGCUUAGGGAAUUAAAUCUCCAAAUAAUGCAUAACAGAAAUUAGGUUAAACAAUCAAUUACAUGAAAGUGUUUGUAGUGAAAUCAAAAGCCCUAGAUCGUUUAAAUCAUAAGAGUUUGAAUUUAUUUUCUUUAAUUGUUUAAUUUACUUUCUUCUGCAACUUUAAAAAUUUGAUUGAUCAAAUAGUAGUAGAAAUAAUAAAUUUUAGCAAUUAGUAGCAUAGUCCUUGUGGGUUCGAUAUCCGUACUUAGGUACAAUUAUAUUACUUGCACGAUUUGUAUACUUACGAAUUUGAACAACAUCUUUCUUACCUUUUUCUUUACUCAUAAUUUUCUUCUUUAUUUUCUUUUACUCAUAUUUUUCAAAAACUAAACAUAAUCUUAGGGUUUUUGGGGUCCAAAAGGCUUCAUAGAAUAUUCUCACACUUUAAUAAAAAGCUCAAGAAGAAAUACAUCUAUUGAUCACUAAAUUUUACAAAUUUUAUUUAUUUUCAGACUAUUAUGAUAUAGUUGCAUUGAGUUAUUAUCAAAUAGUUAAGUGUAGCAAAAAAUGUUAAAUGUAUCAUUCUUAAAUCCUUAGAAGGAGUUGAGGUGAUAAAAAGCAAACUCUUAAUGUAAAUAUUCAAGAAAAAUCUAGGGUAUUGAAUUGUUACCUAUCAAAGUUUAAUCUAGGUCUUUUAAAACGUAUGAUGAAAUUUGAAUUGUUGAAUGAGAAUACAAAUGUAUAGAAUUAAAAUACAAAGAAAUGGAAUCAAUAUAUUUAGAAAAAAAAGAUCAAUAUAUAUAUAAAAAAAUAAUAAUAAUGUACAAAGCAACGACACAUCAUAUGAGAUAUAAAGUGAUGACACUCAUUUAAAGUAAUAAAACUCGAAUGACAUAUGUUGCCUACUUGUGGUACUUUUCAACAAACAGUGACUUGAGACUUUAGUCCAACCCAAAUAUUUAUUAGAUAAGCAAGUAACAUGCAUGGCAUUGUCAAUUUGGAAAAUGUGGUCCCAACACAAUACUAUGAGUUAGAUUUCACAAUUCACUCAAGUAUGGUUCCUCUUUAAUGCCUUUAAGCCAGUUAGUGGUUACUUUUUAAGUAUAGCAAUAACAUGGACAUUGACUCAUCUUUCUAAGUUCACUAGUUGCAAGGAUGCUAACUCUUCUUCCAAGCUCAUCAUGAAGAUGUCAAGCUGUCGCAAGCAUAAAUUUUCUCUCAGGUUUUUUUUUGUGUCUAUGCAGCUUUUAGAUGCCUUCUAAGCCCGCCUAAGAAAGCCAUAAGAAAUUGCAACAAAGAAAUUACCCACAAAUCACAUGAGGUUUACAAGUUUCAAUCUCCUAAGUUGUAUUUAUUUAUAGGGUUCAAUUCACAAAUCUAAAAAGUUAAUACUAGAAUGUCUCCAUAUUUUAUUAGCCAAAUAAAUAACUAAUUUACAACUUCAUUAACUUGAAACUAUAACAAUUGCAAUAAUCAUUAACAAGACUAAAAAAAUCAAAUGUUUAUUUAACGAUUUUUUUUAAAUGGUUCUCAAAAUAUAAAUUUUAAGAAUAAUUUUGAGUCAUUCUCAUAAAAAAGAAAAAAAAAAUUAGGAACUGAAAUUUGGAAAAUAGUUUUCUUCAUUUAUUCUUUGUGAAAAAACAUGCAAUUAUAUACAAUGCAAAAGGUUUUAAAAAACCUUGCAUAUACUUAAAAACCCUAAAAACACCUUAAAUUGUUAUUAAAAAAAACAUAUUUUAGAGCAAUUUUUUUUUUUAAAAAAAAACUAUUUUUAGAAUAUAAGAAUAAUUCUCAAAUACACUCUUAUUUGAGUUAAGAAAAUGCUCCAAAGAAAAUAGAUGAAAAUGAAUGCAAAAUAAAGAUUUAUCUUUAACCAAGGUGGACGACGAGGUCUAGCCGUUAAUAAUAGAAGAUAUGGGAAUUGUGUAUAAAGAUUAGAGUCAAACAAAGACAAAAAGGGUAGGGUGCAAGCAACAUGAAAGAUGAGUUACAAAGACUAUAAAGACAUUUGGAGAAUAGGAAAUCAUGUGAAAAAUAAGUGUAAACAAAAAUAAAGUAAAAGGACAAUGUAGGAAAAACUCAAGAAAAUCAACUUAAGCCACAUGUGGUUUCAAAACUUCAGAAGUCAGAAAUUUAAUGCUUUUACCUAUUUGCAAAUUAAAGUUGAAAUGAAAAAGAUAAAACUGAGUGAAGUGGGGUUGCACAAUAGUCUAUCCAUUUCAAAAUGAACAUUGACAUUUCAAAAUAGGGUGUAAUUUUGAAAUGAGUGUGUCACUUUGAGGAGGAUGACUUACCAUUUUGAAUCCAUUUCAAAAUAACCUCUAUGAAACCAAGGUUUGGUUAAUCUUGAUUUUGAUAAUAACAAAACAAGGUUUAGAACUAAUGAUUAUAUUUCAAGUGUGUUUAGGUAAGACGAUUCCCAAAGUGGCAAUCACAAAGACAAAUCAAGCCAAAGAGAAAUCAUGAAGAAGAAGACCACCUCAAAGAGAAGUGUUUUUCAAGACCCAAGCUUCAUAAGAUCUCUUUGUAAGGUUGUUGGUGCAUUAGGAUUUUCAUGCAUUACAUUUUUUACUUAUGCACUGAAAUCAUCCAAGAGUUAUUUUGUUUUAAAUAUUUUUAAAAUUGGAUGAUUUCAUGUUUUCAACUGAAACCUUGUGUCAAAUGAUUUUCAAACUUAUUUAAAAGGUUUUAAGUUGAAAAUUUUGGUUGUUAAGUCAAAAACGACUCAAUUGGUUGAACCGAAUGAGGAAUCGGUCGACCUCCAUCUCAACCAGUCUAGGUCUAGGUUGACCCCCAAAUCAACCGAUCGAGGUUUAGGUCGACCCCCAGCUCAAAUGGUCGAGGUCUGGGUCAACCCCCAACUUAACUGGUCGAGGUCAGGGUCGACCCCCAACUCAAUCGAUCGAGGUCCGAGUCGGCCCCCAACUCAACUGAUCAAGGUCCAGGUCGACCCCUAACUCAACCGAUCAAGGUUCGGGUCGACCCCCAACUCAACCGGUUAAGGGUGCAAAAAAAUUUAUCUUUCUUCCAGAAUGGUUGUUCAACCGGUCGAGGUUUGGUCAAGGUCCAAUCGAGGGGCGGUUAAGGUCCAACAGUCAUCUGCCAAUUAAAGGCUAACGGCUAGUCGACCGGUCGACCCCCAGCUCGACCAGUCGAACCCCCAACAACUAGUUUGUCUUUUUUCUUCUAUAAAAAUGCUCAAAUCUUUAUUGUUUCAUGAUAUUAACCUUCCCAAACCUUUCUUAAAUAUAUUUGAGCCUUGGAAGAGUAUUUUUUGAGUACACUAUUGUUCUAAAACUUGCAUAUCUUUAGUACACCAUUCAAUCCUAGUUUUUCUUGUAUCAUUUGAGCUUAAAGUUUUUGUACUAAAAUUUUGUAAGAUGAAUUGUUUAUAUAUCUUUGAAAGUAAGAUUCUCAAGUGUGGGGUAUCACUUGAGAGAUUGUUCAAGAGUGGGGUAUCUCUUGAGGAUUGUAAAGGGUACUUGGAGCUAAAAUUCCAAGAAGGUCGAUUGGAACCAUAAUCCAAUUGUAUUGCUUGAAGGCUUGGUUUGGAAGCCUUAAAUUAGUGGAACCUCAAGCUUGGGAUUGAAGCUAGAGGAGAGUGGAUGUAGGUAGGGUUGCGCCGAACCACUAUAAAAUCUUGUGUUUGCAUUCUCUCUUCCAUAUUCUUUUACUUUAUAUGCAAUUGUCUUUAUAUUGUUUUAUUAUAUACUUACAUAUGUUUGUCUCUUACAUUCACAUAGUUUAAAUUUGCAAAAAGUGACCAUCACCCUUUUCACCCCCCCUCCCCCUCUAAGGUGAUUACCAUAGGUUGGAUUAGCCUAAUUUUUCUAACAACCUCAAAUUUCAAAAUGAAGGUAUGCUAAUUGAGAAUAAGCCCUAGACCAUUUCAAAAAUGGCCUCCUUUUGACUCCAUCCAUUUGGAAAUGAACCCUAUUCAUUUAGAAAUCAUAAAAUUUAAUUCUUUUAGACAAUUUUGAAAUAAGUAGCCAAUAGGCAUUCACUAUAUGUUAGGAAUUGCCUUUUACUAUUUAAAUUCAAUGGUUUUAGGGUUUAUGAGGUUUUUUUUUUUUAAAAAAAAGAAUAAGAUAUUAAAGAUUUCUUUUAUUUGUUUUUCUUCUAUAUGCAAUUAAAUUAAUCAUUUUUUCCAAUUUCUAUUGAUUUAAGAAUGGUGUUUUAUAUUUCUUAUAUGGAUGUUAAAAACCUAUCUUUUUAUAUGUUCAACAUAAAAACUUAGGAUUAGAGACUAAGUGAAAUGAUAUGUAAAAAUAAGAUGAAUGAUAGAUUUAAUGAAUGAAUUAAAGCAUUUUUAUUUAUAUCAAAGUACUCUCUAAUUUUAGUUUGAAUUAGGAGAUGAUAUGUUAGCACAUUAUCAAAUACUGAUGAUUUUUAGUAACUCUAGAUAAUUAGUUAUCUCAAUUCUUAUUAUUGUUAUCUAUAUUAAGAUGAACCUACAAAAGAGUAAUAAUGAUGAAAAAUCUAAACUUGAACUUAUAUUAAAUUUAAUUCCUUUGAUGGUAAUUCGGAAUUGGAAUAAAAGAAAAAAAUUAAGUUUUGAAUGUAACCUUAGUUAUAGAGCUUAGUUGAUCUUAAUUAAGCAAAUUUUUUGAAUAAAUUGAAUUAGAAAAUUAGUAAUUGUUUUGUUGGUUAUUUAGGUUUAUUUUAGUUUUCUCAAGUUCAUUUAAAUGAAUUUGGUUAAUAAUUUAUCUUUAUGAAUUUAGAUAAAAGCACUUACUUUAAGUUUUGUAAUUUUGAUAAGUCAAUCUUGAGAAUGAUGGUUGAAUUGUUAUAAAAGUCAUAAUAACUCAUUAUCUAAUUUUUCUUAGUUGUAAUUACUAUGUACAAAGAGUUAAAUAUCUUGACAUUAAAGAAACAAGAUAAGACUCCAAGUUGCUUUAUAAAUGCAUUCAUCAAUUUGAACUCACGCACAAACUAAUUUACUCUACAAUAUUGUGAGCUCCUUGUUUGUAGUUGUUCUCUUAAGGACAUGGGGAAAUGACAUAUCCAAUUAUAAAACCCUGAAUGCCAUUUUGGAGUAGCUAUUGAAAUCCCCGAUUCUAAACAAAAUGUGCAAACCAAAAACCAAGGAUGAAUUUAACCAAUCUUGGACUCCCCAUGGAUACUUUAACUUCAACAAGCCAAAAAAAUAAAAAAUAAAAAAUUUAAAUUUAUGGUGUAAAGUAAACCUCAAAUGCCAAUUUUGAAACAACAAUGGAAAACCUUAACCCCUAUUUGAGAACAUUUUUAAAACUAAUUUUUGGUAUUUCUAAAUAUUUCUUAAAAAUAAUUUUUAUAUGUAAUACUUUAUUUUUAAUUAUUCUUCGUAUUUAAAUAAUUUUUUAAAACGAUUUCUAGAAGAAAAAAAUGAAAAUAAUUUAAAAAAAGUAUAAAAAUAUCCAACUUUUAGAACAAAUUCUCAAUAAAUUAUUAUUAUUAUUUUUAAACUAUCAAACAUGUUUUCGAGUGAGGAAAAGAGUUUUUAUUUUUAAAAAUAAUUCAUAAACAAACACUUAAUCUCUAACCAUCAAUCAAGGUUAGGUGUGGACAUGAUCCAAUUUUAGUCAAUUUUUAACAAACCUAAGAAUGUAUUGAAUUGGUUGAUUUUAAUUAAAUUAGAAUUGGCUAAAACUGAUUUUUUAUAAAUUCAAAUCAUCUUAACUUUAAUUUGAUUUAUUUGGUUUGGACUAAAAUUGAAUGCAUACAUUUUUUAAAAACUAUUAAACUUAAAAAAAAAAAAACUUAGUUUAAAAUUAAAUAACUGAAUACAACGUAAUCAUAUAAGAAGUGUUAUAGUAGAUUACCUAGAAAGUUUUUUUUUUUGGAGAAAUAAAAAAUGUUAAAGAAAAUGAUUUUCUCAUAUUAAAGAAAAUCAAAUACAAUUUAAAUUAUUUAGAAAUUUGUAUAUUUUUAAAUUAUUUAAUAAGGUUUAUUAGACUCUACCCCCAAUCUAUACUAUGUUUUUCACAUUGUUCCAUCACAUUUUAAAUCGAGCAAUGUACCAUCUAUACUUCAUAAAUAUAUGCAAUGUAUAUUUGUUGUGUGACGAUGUUAGUUAUAAUGAAUGGAAGUCGCAUGUGGUAAAUACAUGACGUGUUUAAAUGAGGGAAAAAUCAUCAUUUUAUUUUAUUUUUUUAAAACCCCAACCCAGUCCUCUUUCUUUGAUGCAAGAAUUUUCCUAAAUCCACAAAUUACAAUCAAAGCCCUAGAAUCCCAACAAGUUAAUGCAAACAUCAAAGGGUUGACAUCAAAUAUAUGGAGUUCAAUUGUAUUUUUUUUAUCUUAUAAUGUUAAGCUUGAGUUUUUCUUUAAUGGCUACAAAAAUAUCGGCAAAGAGGGCUAAGGGUUUCGUUUUUCUAUUUUAGAAAAUUUGGAGAAAAAUUGGGGAAAAUUAGGGAAAAUAAAACUUGACAAACAUGGAUGAAAAUUUAAUGUCAUGCUUUAGUUUUAGGGUUAAGGUUAGGGUUUUGUUUUUAUGUCUUAGAAAUUUUGGGGAAAUUUUGGGGGCAAAGUGUAAUAAACCCUAUAAAUUAUAUAUAAAAAAUAUCAUUGGAAUCUCUCCUCCUUGGAGCCAUCGACUAUUCUCUCUUUUCGUCACACCAUGGCAUCAUUGACAACACUAACAACAGUAGAAGGAGAUGGAGAAUGAGGAGUGCGAUGACAGUACUAGGAGCCAAGUUUCCAACAGACGAUCAUUGGAAUCAUUAGGAUUGCAGUGUUUUGGUACUUUGCUUCCAAGUUGUUCUCUCCAAGAAAGCCGACUUCUUCUAACCCAGCUAUUCAGAUCUACAAUCUACUCUAGAAAGCCUAGCCUCUUAUACUUUUCUCUCUAUAUCAUCAAUUUUUCUCUCAUUUGUAGUGGAUUGUAGUGUGUGUGUUGUAUACAUGUGUCAUGUAAUUGUUAUUGUAUUGUUAGGUUUGUUUGAUUGUUAUUGUUUUUUUUUAAGUUUUUGCACUUUGUUUGGUUGGCGAGAAAAUCAAUCAAUUUUUUUUUCUUUUAUAAAUUUUGAAUAUGAGACUAUUUGAAUUAGUUGAAAUGAUUGUUUAAUAAUAUUGUUAUUUUUUUUGAAAUUUUUUUUAGUUUGGUUCUAAUUACCAUAAUAUUUGUAAUACUAUUUGUCAGAAUUCUAGGUUUUUAGGCUAGAACUCUAGGAAAAUUCCAAAAAUUGAAGGAGAAAGGCCGAGUUGGGGUUUUCAGGUUUUUUUAAAAUGAAAUAACGAUUUUACCCUCACUUAAACACAUCAUGUAUUCAAUACAUGCAUCUUCCAUUGAUUACCGCUAACAGUGUCACACAACAAAUGUACAUUACAUGUAUUUAUGAAGUAUGAAAGGUGUAUUGCUCGAUUUUAAAUGUGAUGGGACAAUGUGAAAAAUAUGGUAUAGGUUGGGAGGGUAAAAUGUAAUAAACCCUUAUUUAAUAUUUAUAUAGAAUAGUGAAGUAAGUGAAAAAUGUUUAAAAUAUAUAUAUAUAUAUAAUAUUUGUAAUACUAUUUGUCAGAAUUCUAGGUUUUUAGGCUAGAACUCUAGGAAAAUUCCAAAAAUCGAAGGAGAAAGGCCGAGUUGGGGUUUUCAGGUUUUUUUAAAAUGAAAUAACGAUUUUACCCUCACUUAAACACAUCACGUAUUCAAUACAUGCGUCUUCCAUUCAUUACCGCUAACAGUGUCACACAACAAAUGUACAUUACAUGUAUUUAUGAAGUAUGAAGGUGCAUUGCUUGAUUUUAAAUGUGAUGGGACAAUAUGAAAAACAUGGUAUGGUUGGGAGGGUAAAAUGUAAUAAACCCUUAUUUAAUAUUUAUAUAGAAUAGUGAAGUAAGUAAAAAAUGUUUAAAAUAAUAUAUAUAUAUAUAUAUAUAUAUAUAUAAUAUUUGUAAUACUAUUUGUCAGAAUUCUAGGUUUUUAGGCUAGAACUCUAGGAAAAUUCCAAAAAUCGAAGGAGAAAGGCCGAGUUGGGGUUUUUAGGUUUUUUUAAAAUGAAAUAACGAUUUUACCCUCACUUAAACACAUCACGUAUUCAAUACAUGCGUCUUCCAUUCAUUACCGCUAACAGUGUCACACAACAAAUGUACAUUACAUGUAUUUAUGAAGUAUGAAAGGUGCAUUGCUCGAUUUUAAAUGUGAUGGGACAAUGUGAAAAACAUGGUAUAGGUUGGGAGGGUAAAAUGUAAUAAACCCUUAUUUAAUAUUUAUAUAGAAUAGUGAAGUAAGUGAAAAAUGUUUAAAAUAAUAUAUAUAUAAAUUAUUAUUUUUAAAUCUAUUUUUUAUCUUGCAUCAUUUUUUUUUUUUGGUAUUUUUUCUCUCUAUUUUUUUCAAUCACAUUUUUCUUCAAACUUUCUUGAAACCAAACAUAGCCUAUUUAUAAGGUUUGAUUUGGUUUUGUUAUUCAUCCCUUAAAACCCAAGUUUGGAAGACGGACCUCCAUUUUUUGAAAAUAUGAUAUUGUUGUAAAAUAAUAAAGUGGAAGGAGAAAAAAAAAAAGAAAAAAAAGAAAUUAGAAUGUAGGAAAAAAAACGAAAUAAAUUUUCAUUAGAGGUCUCACCCUUUUAUAGGGAGUCAUAAAGAGAUAUAUAUCAAUAUGGAUGAUUAUCCACAAAUUCUCAUAAUUCGAUAAAUUCUCAUAUUUUCUAACACUCCCCCUUGGAUGAUUAUAAGAAUAUGUCUCAUUAAAACCUUACUACGAAAAAUCCUAUGGGAAAAACACUAGUGAAGGAAAAAAAAAAGUACGAUAUUCUUUUGGACUACUAUAAUUGCCUCAUUAAAAACCUUGUCAGUAAAACCUAGUGGGACAAAACUUAGACGAAAGAAAAAAAAAAGGACAACAUAAUGAUAUUUUUAUCAAUUAGUUCACCUUUCAUGUUGACAUCAUUAUAUUUUCUCUAGUAGCGCAACAUGGAAAUCUUUGAGUCAACGUAUUCCAAUAAGCUUUUUGAGUAUUGUAGUUGACAAUGCCUUUGUGAAUAGAUAUACUAAGUUGUUAUUUGAUCUUACACGUUAAAUAACAAUUUCAUCACUCUUCUAGAGUUGAUGAAAGUAAAACACUUGAGCGAUAAAUGCUUGAUUUUAUCACCCUUAAUGCAUCAUUCUUUAAUAUGUGCAAUACAUGCAACAUUAUCUUCAUAUAACUUGGUAGCAUUACUUCUUAUGGAAGACAGUCCACAUGGUUCCAUUAUUUACUUGAUUGAUCUCCAUGAUAUUGUCGUACCAUCAUAGGUAAAUACAUAUAUUUGAGAUCGUGCUUUGUAAGGGUUGAAAAUAUAGUCAACAUCUACAUAUUCAAACAAUUAAGAUUCUGAUCCUUCUAAAAAACAUAGACCCGUGUUAUUGUAGUACAUGACUGACUUUAUUCCAAUACAUAUGAGUUGGUGCAGAACUCUAUCUCGUAAGUAAGUUAUCAAAGAAUGCAAUAUCUAAUCGUAUAAAAUUUGCAAGAUGUACAUCAAUGCACUAAUAACACUAUAAUAUACUACUUUUGGAUCAAGUAGUUAUUCAUUAUCUUCUUUAAGACGGAAGGGACCCUUUAUCACUUAAAGUGAACAAACUAUCAUCAGAGAACUUAAUGGAUGCAAUCUACCUAUAUGAAAGUGCUUCAAGACUUCAUUUAUAUAUGUUGACUAAUAAAUUAAUAUUUCAUUUGAAAAAUACUUGAUCUGUAUGUUAAGACAAAAAUUUUAUUUUCUAGAAUCUUUCAUUUCAAAUUUGUUUUUCAAAUGGUCAACUAUUCUUGUAAGCUCUUUGGGAGUUCCAACAAAAUUCAAAUGUUCCACAUAUAAUAUAAAAAUUACAAAUAUUCAACAUAAUGAAUAUGCAUAGACAAAUAAGGUAAUACGCAUACUUCCCGUUUCAAAUAUUCAUUGAAGUAAUUGUACUACAUGCCUUUUGAUUGCUUAAUCGAUACAAGGAUCUUUGUAGCUUAAUUGAGUAUAUGCUACAAUGUUUUGAAUUAGUUGCUUCAAGCAUUUUAAAUCCUUCAAGGAUUUUCAUAUAUAUGUCAUCAUCUAAAGAUCCAUAUAAAUACGCAAUAACGACAUCCAUGAGAUGUAAAUCCAAUCCUUCUGAGAUCGCAUAGCAAAUUAGAUAUCUAAAUAUGAUUGCAUCCAUUAUAAGAGAAUAUAUUUCCUCGUAUUCAAUACUAGGUCUCUGCGUGAAACCUUGAGCUAUUAGUCAUGCUUUAUAUCUUAUGAUUUCAUUUUUCUCAUUACACUUUCUUAUAAAUACUCAUUUAUAUCCAACAAGUUUGAUAACUUCAGGCGUCUAGACUACAGGUUCAAAUACUCAUUUUUCUAAUGAGUCUAAUUUUGUCAAGAUGUAUUCUUUUCAUUUUGGCCAAUUUUUUCUAUGUUGACAUUCAUCCAUAGUUUUUACUUUGGGAUCCUCAUCAUUUCUCAUGAUGUCAAGAGCCACUUGGAAAAAAUAUAUAUUGUCGAUGAUAAGAGUAUUUCAAUACCAUUUUUCUCUAUAUAUAAGUAGAUAAUUGAGAUCUCAUCAUUAUCAGGUACUUGUACCUUUUUAGGAGCUAAUUUUAAAACACUCCUAGGGCUACUUGUUUAAAUUAAUUGUGCCUCUUCAAGGGUGAUUGGAGCCAAAAUAUGUGUUCUAAUGGCACAUAUUCGAUAUGAUUUGUGCACCAAGGGACAUUCAAAUCAUCCAACUUGACCUAAAUCGAUGCUAAGGCCCUAGCCAUGAGUUUAAUUUGUACUUUGGAGACUUAUCUCAUGUUCAAGGGAAGAAAAUGGUGCAAGUUGAAUCACUUUAGAUUUUGAAAUAUCAAGAAAUGACUAAAUGAGAAAAUAAGUGAGUCAAGAUUGGUGGACCAUGAAAAAAGGCAAGACAAUGAUAUUGUGAAUUUGGAAUAUGAGACAUGACCAUUAUGGAGUAAGAAAGAAGGCAAGAAAACAUAGGAAAUGAUUCAUGAAGCAAGAUUCAGCUGUAUGGAAAUUUGGAACUCAAAAUCUAGUGGCAACAUGCACUUUGAAUUUAAGGAAAAAUUUGGAGUACUUUCCGAAGUCUAUUUUAAACAUACUAUAUAUGGUUUCAAAGCUCAAGAAGUCAGAAGUCCAACACUUCAAAUGUAUAUAAAUCAGAGGUGAAAUGAAGAAGUUAUAGUCAUUUGAAGACAACUAUGUAAAGGUGAAGAACCAUUUCGAAAUGAUUUUGAAAUUCAACUUAUGAAUUCGAAAUCCAAUUCGAAAUGACCCAAAUUUCAAAUUCACCCACUGUUAUUUUGAUGUUUUGCCUCCUCUACCUCGGGAAUUGCAUCCAGGGCACUCCAUUAGCCCUAAGUGGGUCCCACACAACUAGAAAUCACCAUUUUAUUAUUUUUUAUUCAUUUUUAGAUAAUUAUUUUUGUAAUAAGUGGCCAAUGAGAAUUACAUAAACUCUCUUAGUUCUAGGUUUGGGGGAUCUUUGAUUUUUUUCUAGAGAGUUUGACAUUGAAGGUGGAAGAAGAUGAGAACUUUGGUUUGUUUUCUUUUUCUUCUUUAUUAAAUAUGUUGUUUUUAGUUUCUUUUGAUUCAAAUUAUGGAUUUUUACCCCAUUAUGGAUUGUGAAUGUGACAUCACCCCCAUGAGAGGCUAAAAAACGAACUUGGGACUUGAAUUAUGAAAUCCUAAGGGCCAGGAAACCUAUAAGGACAAUGGGAAAAUUAUUAUAACAAUGAGAUUAAUUAUUGGUUAGGUGACAAUUUAUCAAAUUUUUUUCUCCUAUCCUUGUGAGUUAGUUUAGGGAAUGAUAUGGUAGGUUAUUACCAGAUACUAGUGAUUCUUGAUAAUUCUUGAUCAUUAGUUAUCCUUGUCUUUCCUAUCAUUAUUUGCCCCAAAACAAAGUUAUAAGGAGUAGGAAGGGUUAAAAAGUUAAAUGUUAAACUGGUAAUCAAUUUCAUUCAUUUGAUGGUUUUAAGAAUCUGUUUUAAAAAGGGAAAAUUAGGUUUCAGAUGCAAUUUUGAGUUAUAGAACUCAACUUGAUCGCGAGCAGCCAAGAAUCCCAAAACCUUAAGAUCAUAUUACUUAAAAAACCCUUGUUUUCUCUAAUUUCUAUACCCUACAUUGGAUUGUGGAAAACCCCAAACUUGAGUCAAUCGAAUUUAAAAUCAAUAUUCAUUUUGUUAUUAAUUUAAUUUCUUUUACUUAGUUUCACAUUAUUCAAUUUUUUUUUUUUUUACUUUAGGAUUUAAAUAAAAGUAAUUCAUUUAUUCUAGUAUUAACUAUUACCAUAAGCUAGUCCUUGAGAACGAUACCCAGAGUACUACAAAAGUCGUAGUGACUUUUUCUCUAGUUUUCUUUACCAGAGUUGCAACGUAAAAAGGCUAAGUAUUUUGGUACAACAGAGAAGUUCGGUCAAAGCUCUGAUUGAGAUUGAUCAGUAAUUUUAAUAACUCAUUUUAUAUGCAACUUCUUCAAGAGUGCCACUUUUCAUAUAUCUUUCCUUGUGUUUUCCUCUUCUAGGGAAUGUGUUUGCUUCUUUAGGGUCUACCACGCUUCAAGCGUGCCUUAGACUCAUUAUUUUAAUUGUCAUUUAAGGACAUCAACUCAUUAUUUAAUUUUCUUUCAAGGACAUCAACUCAUUAUUUAAUUGUUUUUCAAGGACAUCAACUUGUUAUCUAAUUGUCCUUACAUCAACGCAUUAUUUAAUUGUCCUUCAAGGACAUCAAUUUGUAUUGGAAUAUUCUAGGUUAGUGAAAAUGAUUUUGUCACUUUCUUUACAUCAAUGAAAGCAUUUGGUAGUCAAUUUGCAAGUCCUUGCAAAUAAAUCAUUUUUUGAACUUUCAGUUCACAUUGAUUAGUACGAUGAUCAAGAUAAGUCAAAGUCAAUGCAUUCUAAAUAAUUUCACGUCAUUCUUCUGGAACUGACUCUUCUCCCUCUAAUGACAGAAAAAUUGUCUUAUUAAAAUGAUAAUCUGCACAAUAUGUCAUUCUAUCUUUCAAGUGUAUAGGUAGACUAAUCACUAGAUAAAAAAUUCUGGUUUUAUAAUGUACGUCCAUACGCCAUUACAAAAAAAUUAAUGUAUCAUUGUUUACCCCGGGGAACCAAGUUGGUCUUAUAAGAUUCUUUUGGAUUUAGCAUCGUAUAAAGUAUCAUUCACAUGAAAUCAAAUAUCACUAUUUACAUAGUAUAAGCUCUUCUAGAGCCUUUAAUCAGGUUUUUAUCACCUAAUAUAGUUUUAACAUUGUUUGUAACCAAUGUUGUGUAAUUAAUGAGACAAAAGUUUCAUCAAAAUAAUAAGUCAUAAAACAUAUCAUAAAGACUUCGUUUUUAUUGAGUUGAAGAAAUAUUAUCAUAGAGAAAGAGUUAAAAUAAAAAUAUAUAUAUAUUAGGCAUUGAUGAUGACUUAGCUUAAUAAGUUAUGUAAAAGUAAUGAAAGCAUACAUAACACAAGAAAACAAAUAUAAAAAAAAAAAAUUUAAAGUUAUAUAUUUUUUAACACAUUUGAUUUUAUAAGUGUGAAGCAAUCUAUACAUGAAAUAACUAGGAAGUAUUUCAAUAAUCAAACUAAUUAUUGUGAUAGAUCAAUAAUUUUAUUCAAAAUAUUAUUAUGAUCUAAAUCAAUGUGCAAAAAAUAACUCAUAAAUCAAAAUUUUAAGAGAACAUAUCAUGAUUUAAAGCAUCUUGUUGUCUCAAAAAUUUAAUUGGAACACUACAAAUCCAUCUAAAUAUAUAUGUAAAGAAAUAACAAAAUAUAUUGAGAAUACUAGUUGAACCUAUUGUAAUUUCAAAAUUAUUUUUGGAUAAUGAAAUUAUUGCAUUAAUAAAAAUAUCAUAUGUGGCAACAUGCAAUAAUAUAUAUUAUUUUACAUAGCUCAAAAUUUUUAAUCAUAAAACAUGUCUUAAAGAAAAUUGAUAUGCAAAAUCAAUUUAUUAAUCAUAAGACCAAGUCAUAUAGUUCACAUGUAACAAAAAAAAUAAUCAAAAUUUUCAGCACAUAAUUUCAUUAUUAAAUUCUCAAUAAGUAAAUCUGAAUAAAAGAUGUUAUCUAAAAUUUUCAAGAUAUAAGUACAUAUGCUAUUCAAAAAUCUUAACUUUCUAUAUGAAACAAUCAUAUUUUACAUAAGAUAUUGGAAAAUCCAAUUAUUAUAUCAAAAGAUUAUUGUGUAUUAAACAACUAGAAUAAAAAAAAUAGAAAAUAUCACCUCUAAACCAAAAAUAUUAAAUAUAAAUAUCAUGCUUUCAUGGAACCCAAAAAUUUCACAUCUAUAUGUAAAUAUUUCUACUAAUAAGGUUUAACUUCUAAUAAUAGGAGUUCAUACAAAAAAAAUAUCAAGCACUUACUUAUUUGUAUAACUUGAUAUACAAAAUAUUAAUCUUUUGAUAAUAUGUAAAUAUUAUUUAUAUGCUUAAUAUGAUAGCUUCAAGCUAUAAUAUAUUUUAGUAUAACUUUUGGUUACAUGAAUUUCAUAAAGUUGUACAAAAUUAAUUUUGUUCUCUAUAAUUUCUAAAUAUAAAAAAGUACAUAUUAACCACUUUGGCAUAACCUUUUAUUAGCAUAAAAAAUAUUAAUUUUCUCAUUUUCAUAAGUUCGAGUUAUGAAUAAUAAUAUUUAUAUAACUUCUGAGUAUAUAAUUUUAUAAUAAAAUAUUUUCUUUUUCACAUAGCUUCUUGCUAUACGAGUUUUAACAAUUAUUAAUUUACUCAUUUUUUCUUCAUAGCUUCAUGCUAUGAAUAAUCAAAAUCUGAGUAAUAUUAUCAUAACACUAAAUAAUUGACAAUUAUAUUAUGAUAUGAAUUUUGGUUAUACAACAAAAUUAAAAAAAAAAAAAAAUUAUGUAUCUUCUAGCUAUAUAGUUGUUCAUUGACAAUUUUGUUUUGUAUAACUUCUUGUUAUACAAGAGAAUUACAAAUUGAGUGUACAACUUCUGACUAUAAAACAAUUGUUAAUAAAAAUUGUUUCAAUAAUUUCUAGUUAUGAAAAAUGCAUAAAUACAAAAUAAAAAUUAAAAGCCAAUAUUUUUCAUAACUUCUAGUUAUGAUUAUUUUGUUAAAACAAGAAAACAUGUAGAUUUGUACAUAAUUUUAGACUAUGAACUAUUUUUUUAUUAAUGUAAAUUUGUACAUAGCUUCAGGUUAUGAAUUAUUCAUACAUAACUUCCAAAUACACGGUAUAAUUAAAAGAAAUUAAAACUUAAUAUCUUUUAUAGCUUCAGGUUAUGAUUAUUUUGUCAUAACAAAAAAAUAUGUAAAUUUGUACAUAACUUCAGACUAUGAACUAUUUUUUUAUGUAAACUUAUGCAUAACUUUAGGCUAUGAACUAUUUUUAUGUAAAUUUGUACAUAACUUCAUGCUAUAAACUAUUCAUUGCGUAGACCUAUGCAUAAUUUCAAAUUAUGAACUAUUCAUUGUAAAGAUUUGUAAAUAACUUCUAACUAUAUAAUAUUGUUUUAUAUGAAUUUUAGGUAUAUAAUAUAAUUAAAAAGUAAUUGUGUAUCAUAUGCAUAGCUUCCAACCAUGUAUAUGUAAUUUUGUAAUUUACACUAUAACUUUUGGUUAAAAUAAUUGUACAUAUUUUUCAUAACUUCUAGUUAUGAAAUUUUUUCUAUAUAACUUCUAAUUAUUAAAUAAUUAAAAUAUUAACAAUUACUAGUUUUUGACUUGAUUAUAUAAAAUAUGCUUUCCAUAACUUCUAACUACGAGAUAAAGUAAAUAAAAAUGAUAAUAAAAUAUAAUGCAUUAUACUUUUUAUAUUUCAUUUAAAGAAAAUAAGGUUAUUGUAGACCCUAAAAUUUGUCUCAUUUUUAUUUUUACAUUAAUUUUGAACUCAAUUUUGUUAUUAGAUUUUAAAUCCCUAUUACAUAUGAUAUUUUUGACCUACUUAUCAUUUAAUUUUUAGUUUUUAUUAUUUUGUAUAUUGUUUUAUUUUAUUUUAUUAUUUUUAUUACUAUUAUUAUUAUUAUAUUAGAUUAUAUAUUUUUUUCUUUUCUUGAUUUUCUUUUUUCUUUCUUUUCUCUCUCCUCUCUCCUUUCUCUUACUACCUUCCCUAACCACCCCACCCACUCUUUCUCCCCCCCCCCCAUACCCCCUAUUCCUAUAGUCAUACCCCUAUCUCCUCUAUUUAUUUUAUUAUUAUUAUUAUUAUUAUUAUUACUAUUAUUAUUAUUAUUAUUUUCCUUUUCUCUUCUUCUUCUUCCUCAUUUUUCUUCUUUUUUCUCCUUUUCCCAACUCCCACACAUGGCCAAGAACCCAUUUUCUCUCUUUCGCCUUCUCUUCUACUUUUUUUUUCCCACUAAAAAAAACCCUUCCCACAAACUCUCCACUGUCACACACCCCCCACCUUAUUUUCCCCAUUUUCUCAUAUUUUAUUCCUUCCAUUUUCUUCUUCCAUUUUUAUUUCCUCUCACUGCCAUUCACAGAGACACGACCUUCUCUCCUUUCUCUCUUCUCCCAUUUUUUUCCUCCCAUUUCUUCUUUGUUUGGCUACUCUUCCUUUUCAUUUAUUUUAUUUUAUUUUAUUUUUGUUUCCUAAAAAUCUAUCACCCCUCACCGCCACCAACAAAACCACCAGCCAAUUGUCGCCAGUGAGCCACUUCUAGUCGACAACCCCUUCCUAUUUUCUCUCAUUCCCUCAUUCCCUCACUUUCCCAUCACACUCAUUUUCCAUUAGUAAUUGUUGUUGGUGAGAUUUGAAUUAUUGAAUUAAUAUGGAAUUUGGGUUAAUUUGUUAUUUAAUUAAUUUGGAAUUAAUUAAACUACAAAUUCAUUUGGGUUAAUUUGGAAUAUUGAAUUAAUUUUGAAAUUUGUUAAUUUGUGCUAAAUUAGUUGAUAAUUUAUAUGAUUGUGCUCAUUUGAAUUAUUAAUUUGGAUAUGAUAUAAUAUUGUGGUAUAUUUUAUAUGUGGGUUUGCAUAUUAAAUUGGGUUGAUUAUGGUCGUGAAUUUAGGUUUACAUAUUAAAUUAGGCUUGGAUUAUGAGAUAUCAAAUUUAGGCUUAAUAAAAUUUAUUUUAAUUUAUCNNNNNNNNNNNNNNNNNNNNNNNNNNNNNNNNNNNNNNNNNNNNNNNNNNNNNNNNNNNNNNNNNNNNNNNNNNNNNNNNNNNNNNNNNNNNNNNNNNNNGAUUAAUUUGAAAAUUUUAGAUUAGGGUCUAUGACAUAUGAGAUAUUUGUGUUGGGUUAAAUUUGCUAAUUUAGGCUCAUUUUUAAUUAAUGAAAUUUAUUGAAAGUUUGAAUAUGGGUUUGAAUAUUUAUUUUGAAAUUUGUACAUUUCUAUAUAUUAUAUUUGGGCUAUUUUUGUUUUUGGAUGGGUCUAUUAUGCAAUUUUGUUGAUUGAGUACGAAUUUAUGACACAUGAGUACAUAAUUUCAUGGAAGAAAGUGAGAAUCAAAAAGCUAUAGGAAGACAUUGAGCUUAUUGUAAAUUUGUUUGGGUAUACAUUUUAUUUCUCAUUACUAUUUGGUUAUAUUUUUAUUGGUUUAUGUAAAUAUUUGUUUGUAUAUAUUUAUUGAGUGGGUACAAAAUUGAAUAUCGAACAAAUCGGAAAUUUUGUUUAAAUAAGAUGAAUAAUUCAGUAAACAUGUUUUAAUAAAAUAAUAAUUUUAAAAUAUUCUUCUUAAUAAAAGAAAGUUUUUUAUUAAUAAAAAUUCAAAAAAAUGCUUUUAGAAAAAUAAAAAAAAUGUUUUUAAUAGAAUUUGAAAAAUUGUUUUAAUAAUAAUUGUCCAAAAAUUUAUUUUUUUUUAAUAAAAAUUGUUCAAAAAUUGUUUUGUAAAUAAAGUUGUCCAAAAAAAUAAUUUUUAAUUAAAAAUUCUUUAGUAAAUAAAGUUAUAUUUUUUUUAAAAUAAUUUGUAUAAGUCACUUUUUUUUAAAUGAAAACAAAUUAAAAUACUUUUGUAAAUGAAAUUGUAAAAAUUCAUUUUUUUCUAAUAAAUGCAAUUAAAAAUAAUUUUUGUAUCCAAAUUGAAAUUUUUUAAUAAAUUCUUUUAAUACAAUAAGUGUAAAUAAAUUUUUUGAAAAUUGAAUACAAAUGAAAUUGAGAAAAUAAAUUGACUCUUUUUUGUAAAUAAAUAAAUUAAAAUCAUUAAUUCAAAAUCAUUUUUAAGAAAAUUCUUUGAAAUUUAUUAAAAACUUUUUUUUAAAUAUUUUUUUAGUUCAAUAAAUCAUUUUACAUAAUCCUCUUGUCAUUUAUUUUGUGUAUUCUUGUAAUUAUAUUUCAUAAUUACUUUUGUGUUAUUGAUUUUCACCAUGACUUGUACAUUGAUUAUUUUUCUUGAUAUCCAUAAUUAAUUAAUUAAUUGUUACAAUUACCUUAAUUCGUUUAGUAGAGGCCGUACAUAUACGGGCUUAGAAAAGUGUUACGACUCACCACUGUACCUUCCCACUAGGUAACUUGAUUCUCGAAUCCAGAUUCUGUUUUUGCAUAUAUGUCUUUUCAAAAUAAGGAGUCACAUAAGAUUUUCUUGCUUCAAAGUCUUUUUCUAAAAAUCAUAUUUUUCAUCAAAUAAAUAAAAAGGUGAGUCUCGCCAUUCAAGUGGGGACGCACAUGAAAAACGUAGAUCCACAGUUAUAUACCUAUAAAAAAUUUUAUCGGUUAAUUUUUCUCUUUUUCUAUCUAGUGCAUUUUUUUUAUAUCUUAUACAUUUUUUUUUCUACCUUAUGCAUUCUUUCUUUUUUCUACAUACUCAGAGCGUCCUACUAAUAACGAGUUGUAAAAUAAUAAAGUGGAAGGAAAAUAAAAUGCAAAAAUAAAUUAGAAUAUAGGAGAAAACAAAAUAAAUUUUCAUUAGAGGUAUCAUUUACAAGUUCCCAUAAUCCGAUAAAUUCUCAUAUUUUAUUACAGAAAUAUAAUUUUUUUUUAAUAAAAAUAUAUUUUAGUACCAAAUUAAUUCACCAACAAUAAAUUAGCCCAAAUUUCAUAUUAAUUUAUCAACAACAAAUUAACUCAAAUUUCAUAUUAAUUCAACAAUCCAAAUUUCACAAACAAAAAUUACUAUUAAACUAAAGGGAAAUAAUAAUAAUAACAAUAACAACAACAACAACAACAACAACAACAAUAAUAAUAAUAGAAAAUGAGUGGGAUGGGAAAAUGAGGGAAUCAGAGAAAAUGGGAGGGGGUUGCCAGCGGCGAUUGGUAGGAGCUCACCGACGACAAUGAGGGUUGAUGGUGUUUUUGAAAAAACAAAAACGAAAAAAUAAUAAUAAUAAAAAAGAUGAUAAUAAAAAAUAAAAAUAAAAUGGAAGAGAAGAUAUGGGUUGCCCGUGUCUUUGCAAGUAUUUGGAUAGAGAACAAAAAUGAAAAAUGGGAAAGAAGAAAAUGGGGGGCUCCGGUCGUGUGGGAGUAAGGAAAGAGAGAGGAGAAAAAAAUGGAGAAAAUUGGGGGAGGAAAAAUAUGAAGAAGAGAAUCCGAGGGGUCCUGGUGGGAUGUGGUGUUUGGGUAGCCAAAAUAAAAAUUAAAAAAAUCAAGAGAAAUGGGAGAGUCAGUCGUGGUCGUCUAUGGAGUGAAAGAAAAAUGGGGGAAGAGUUGAGAAACGGAGUGAGAAGAUGGGGCUGUCGGGCAUUGUGGGAGUACAUAGAGAAGAGGAAAAAAUCUGGUGAGAAUGGGGGAAAAAAUGGGUUGGUUGUGGUCAAGGGAGUUGUAAAGAGGGUAGGAGAAAAAUUAGGGAAGAAAAAAAGGGGGUCGGUCGUGUGUGGAUAAGGGAAGAGAGAGAGUAUGAAAAAAGUUGGGAAAGAAAAUGGGAGAAAAAGGAAAAUUAAAAAAAAAAAAAUGGGGGGUCGGCUGUGUGUAAGUAAGGGAAGAGAGAGAAUAUGAGAAAAGUUGGGGAAGAAAAUGAGGGAAAAAGGAAAAGAAAAUAAAAAAUAAAAAUAAAAUGAAAAAAAUGUGAGAUGAGAUGGGGAUCGGUGGUGAAUGGUAUGGGGACUUUUGGGCCAAAAUGGGCUUUUGUUGAAACAUAAUAUUAAAAGUGGGCCCCUUCUCAAAGUAAUGUUCAAAAUAGCCCCCUUGAAUCCAUAUCAGCAUAAAAACCAAUUUUUUAUACUAUUUAUUUUUACUUUACCAACUUUCAUCCUAUGUUGUUCUCUCUAACCAUCCUGUGUUGUUCUAUGUGUGAUUUUUUCCUUCAAAACCCUAGUCCCACCAGUGGGCCACUGAGAAAGACGUUGGAGUUACAAAGUAUCAAGGUUGAGGUUAGUCCUAAUCCUCUUUCUGGCUUAUUUUAUGUAAAGUUUUUGGCACUUUCCUUUUUUUUUUUUCCNNNNNNNNNNNNNNNNNNNNNNNNNNNNNNNNNNNNNNNNNNNNNNNNNNNNNNNNNNNNNNNNNNNNNNNNNNNNNNNNNNNNNNNNNNNNNNNNNNNNCAUAAUCUCGUUUUCAGAAAAUUAUUAUUUUUCCAUUGCUUUUGGUUUUCUCUUUUGUUUACGUCCUUCACGGCUAUUUUGGCAUAAAUGGUUUCUUAUCAUCCAAAGAUUGAAACCCUUUAAGAUGCAGACAUUUGUUGAAGUUUAUAGGGAAAAUGAAAAUUUUCUAGGAAAAAUAAAAAAAUUUCUAGGGAAAAAGGACAAAUCUGUGAUUUCUAUAUUUGAUGAUUAAUGUCUUGAGGUUAACCUAGUUUUAGAAGAGAAUCUGGGGGGUCCCGCCGAGAUGUGGUGUUUGGGUAGCCAAAAUAAAAAUGAAAAAAAAUCAAGAAAAAUGAGAGAGUCAGUCGUAGUCGUCUAUGGAGUGAAAGAAAAAUGGGGGAAAGAGUUGAGAAACAGAGUUGGAAGAUGGGGUCGUCGGGCAUUGUGGAAGUACAUAGAGAAGAGGAAAAAAUCUGAUUAGAAUGGGGGAAAAAAAUGGGCUGGUUGUGGUCAAGGGAGUUGUAGAGAGGGUAGGAGAAAAAUGGGGGGUUGGCCGUGUGUGAGUAAGGGAAGAGAGAGAGUAUGAGAGAAGUUGGGGAAGAAAAUGGGGGAAAAAGGAAAAAUAAAAUAAAAAAUAAAAAAAAUAAAAAAUGGAAGAAAAAUGGACGUUUAACUCUGUGUAGGUAAGGAAAGAGAGAGAGUGUGAGAAAAGUUAGGGAAGAAAAUGGGGGAAAAAGGAAAAGAAAAUAAAAAAUAAAAAAAAAUAAAAAAUGGAAGAAAAAUGGACGUUUAACUCUGUAUAGGUAAGGAAAGAGAGAGAGUGAGAAAAGUUAGGGAAGAAAAUGAGGGAAAAAGGAAAAGAAAAUAAAAAAUAAAAAAAAUGAAAAAUAAAAAAUGAGAGAUGAAAUGGUGGCCGAUGGUGAAGGGUAUGGGGACUUCUUGGCCAAAAUGGGCUUCUAUUGAAACAUUAUAUUAAAAGUGGGCUCCUUCCCAAAGUAAUGUUCAAAAUAGCCCCAUUGAAUCCAUAUCAUCAUAAAAACCAAUUUUUUAUACUAUUUAUUUUUACUUUACCAACUUUCAUCCCGUGUUGUUCUUUCUUCCUAUCCCGUGUUGUUCUAUGUGUGAUUUUUUCCUUCAAAACCAUAGCCCCACCAGUGGGCCACUGAGAAAGACGUUAGAGCUACAAAGUAUCAAGGUUGAGGUUAAUCCUAAUCUUCUUUUUGGCUUAUUUUAUGUAAAGUUUUUGGUACUUUCCCAUUUUUUUUUCCAAUCUCAGAAUCUCGGUUUUCAAAAAAUUAUUUUUUUCCAUUGCUUUUGGUUUUCUCUUUUGUCUACGUCCUUCACGGCUAUUUUAGCAUAAAUGGUUUCUUAUCAUCCAUAGAUUAAAGCCCUUUAAGAUGCAGACAUUUGUUAAAGUUUAUGGGGAAAAUGAAAAUUUCUAGGGAAAAUAAAAAAAUUUCUUGGGAAAAAUGACAGAUAUGUGAUUUGUAUAUUUGAUGAUUAAUGUCUUAAGGUUAACCUAGUUUCAAAAGAGAAUCCAGGGGGUCCCGCCGGGAUGUGGUGUUUGGGUAGCAAAAAUAAAAAUAAAAAAAAUAAAAAAAAUGGGAGAGUCGGUCGAAGUCGUCUAUGGAGUGAAAAAAAAUGGGGGAAAGAGCUGAGAAACGAGUGGGAAGAUGGGGUUGUCGGGCAUUGUGGAAGUACACAGAGAAAAGGAAAAAAUCUUGUGAGAAUAGGGGAAAAAAAUGUGUUGGUUGUGGUUAGGGGAGUUUUAGAGAGGGUAGGAGAAAAGUUGAGGAAGAAAAAUGGGGGCUUGGUCGUGUGUGGGUAAAGGAAGAGAGAGAGUAUGAGAAAAGUUGGGGAAGAAAAUGGGGAAAAAAGGAAAAAUAAAAAUAAAAAUAAAAUAAAAUAUGGGAGAAAAAUGGGGAGUCGGCUGUAUGUAGGUAAGGGAAGAGAGAGAGUACGAGAAAAGUUGGGGAAGAAAAUGGCGGAAAAAUGAAAAGAAAAUAAAUAAAAUAAAAUAAAAUGAAAAAAUGAGAGAUGAGAUGGUGGCCGGUGGCGAAGGGUAUGGGGAUUUUUGGGCCAAAAUGGGCUUCUAUUGAAACAUAAUAUUAAAAAUGGGCUCCUUCCCAAAGUAAUGUUCAAAAUAGCCCCCUUGAAUCUACAUCAGCUUAAAAACCAAUUUUUUAUACUAUUUAUUUUUACUUUACCAAUUUUCAUCCCNNNNNNNNNNNNNNNNNNNNNNNNNNNNNNNNNNNNNNNNNNNNNNNNNNNNNNNNNNNNNNNNNNNNNNNNNNNNNNNNNNNNNNNNNNNNNNNNNNNNGUUCUAUGUGUGAUUUUUUCCUUCAAACCAUAGCCCCACCAGUGGGCCAUUGAGAGAUACGUUAGAGCUAUAAAGUAUCAAGGUUGAGGUUAGUCCUAAUAUUCUUUUUGGCUUAUUUUAUGUAAAAUUUUUGGCACUUUCCCAUUUUUUUUUCCAAUCUCAAAAUCUUGGUUUUCAUAAAAUUAUUUUUCUUCCAUUGCUUUUGGUUUUCUCUUUUGUUUACAUCCUUCACGACUAUUUUAGCAUAAAUGGUUUCUUAUCAUCCAAAGAUUGAAGCCCUUUAAGAUGCAGACAUUUGUUGAAGUUUAUGAGGAAAAUAAAAUUUUCUAAGGAAAAUAAAAAAAUUUCUGGGGAAAAAUGAUAGAUCUGUGAUUUGUAUAUUUGAUGAUUAAUGUCUUGAGGUUAACCUAAUUUCAAAAGAGAAUGCGAGGGGUCCCGCCGGGAUGUGGUGUUUAGGUAGCCAAAAAUAAAAAUAAAUAAAUAAAUCAAGAAAAAUGGGAGAGUCGGUCGUGGUCGUCUAUGAAGUGAAAGAAAAAUGAGGGAAAGAGUUGAGAAAAAGAGUGGGAAGAUGGGGUCACCGGGCAUUGUGGGAGUACACAGAGAAGAGGAUAAAAUCUGGUGAGAAUGUGGUAAAAAAAUGGGUUGGUUGUGGUCAGGGGAGUUGUAAAGAGGGUAUGAGAAAAUUUGGGGAAUAAAAAUGGGGGGUUGGUCGUGUGCGGGUAAGGGAAGAGAGAGAGUAAGAGAAAAGUUGGGGAAGAAAAUGGGGGAAAAAAAGAAAAAAGAAAAUAAAAAAUAAAAUAAACAAUGGGAGAAAAAUGGGCGUUCAACUAUGUGUAGGUAAGGAAAAAGAGAGUGUGUGAGAAAAGUUAGGGAUGAAAAUGGGGGAAAAAUGAAAAGAAAAUAAAAAAUAAAAAAAUAAAAUAAAAUGAAAAAAUGAGAGAUGAAAUAGUGGCCGGUGGUGAAGGGUAUGGGGACUUCUUGGGCCAAAAUGGGCUUCUAUUGAAACAUAAUAUUAAAAGUGGGCUCCUUCCCAAAGUAAUGUUCAAAAUAACCCCCCUUGAAUCCACAUUAGCAUAAAAACCAAUUUUUUAUACUAUUUAUUUUUACUUUACCAACUUCCAUCCCGUGUUGUUCUCUCUUCCCAUCCCGUGCUGUUCUAUGUGUGAUUUUUUCCUUCAAAACCCUAGCCCCACCAGUGGGCUACUAAGAAAGACGUUAGAGCUACAAAGUAUCAAGGUUGAGGUUAAUCCUAAUCUUCUUUUUGGCUUAUUUUAUAUAAAGUUUUUGACACUUUCCCAUUUUUUUUCCAAUCUCAGAAUCUCGGUUUUCAAAAAAUUAUUUUUUUUCAUUGUUUUUGGUUUUCUAUUUUGUUUACGUCCUUCACGGCUAUUUUAGCAUAAAUGGUUUCUUAUCAUCCAAAUAUUGAAGCCCUUUAAGAUGCAAACCUUUGUUGAAGUUUAUGGGGAAAAUGAGAAUUUCUGGGGAAAAUAAAAAAUUUUCUAAGGAAAAAAGACAGAUCUGUGAUUUGUAUAUUUGAUAAUUAAUGUCUUAAAACCUAGUUUCAGAAGAUAAUCCGGGGGGUCCCGCCGGGAUGUGGUGUUUGGGUAGCCAAAAUAAAAAUAAAUAAAAAAAACAAGAAAAAUUGGAGAGUCGGUCAUGGUCGUCUAUGGAAUGAAAGAAAAAUGGGGGAAAGAGUUGAGAAAAAGAGUAGGAAGAUGGGGUCGUCGGGCAUUGUGGGAGUACAUAGAGAAGAGGAAAAAAUCUGGUGAGAAUGGGGGGAAAAAAUGGGUUGGUUGUGGUCAGGGGAGUUGUAGAGAGGGUAGGAGAAAAUUUGGGGAAGAAAAAUGGGGGGUUGGCUGUGUGUGGGUAAGGGAAGAGAGAGAGUAUGAGAAAAGUUGGGGAAAAAAUGGGGUAAAAAAGAAAAAAUAAAAGAAAAAUAAAAAUAAAGUAAAAAAUGGGAGAAAAAUGGGCGUUUAGCUAUGUGUAAGUAAGGGAAGAGAGAAAGUGUGAGAAAAGUUAGGGAAGAAAAUAGGGGAAAAAGGAAAAUAAAAUAAAAAAAUAAAAUAAAAUAAAAUGAAAAAAUGAGAGAUGAAAUGGUGGCCGGUGGUGAAGGGUAUGGAGACUUCUUGGCCAAAAUGGGCUUCUAUUGAAACAUUAUAUUAAAAGUGGGCUUCUUCUUAAAGUAAUGUUCAAAAUAGCCCCAUUGAAUCCACAUCAGCAUAAAAACCAAUUUUUUAUACUAUUCAUUUUUACUUUACCAACUUCCAUCCCGUGUUGUUCUCUCUUCCCAUCCCGUGCUGUUCUAUGUGUGAUUUUUUCCUUCGAAACCCUAGCCCUACCAGUGGGUCGCUGAAAAAGACUUUAGGGCUACAAAGUAUCAAGGUUGAGGUUAGUCCUAAUCUUUUUUUGGCUUAUUUUAUGUAAAAAUUUUGGCACUUUUACUUUUUUUUUUUUUUUCCAAUAUCAGAAUCUCGGUUUUCAAAAAAUUAUUUUUUUCCAUUAAUUUUGGUUUUCUCUUUUGUUUACGUCCUUCACGGCUAUUUUAGCAUAAAUGGUUUCUUAUCAUCCAUAGAUUGAAGCCCUUUAAGAUGCAGACUUUUGUUGAAGUUUAUGGGGAAAAUGAGAAUUUAUGGGGAAAAUAAAAUUUUCUAGGGAAAAUAAAAAAAUUGCUAAGGAAAAAGGACAGAUCUGUGAUUUGUAUAUUUGAUAAUUAAUGUCUUGAGGUUAACUUAGUUUCAAAAGAUAAUCUGGGGGGUCCCGCCGAGAUGUGGUGUUUGGGUAGCCAAAAUAAAAAUAAAUAAAUAAAUCAAGAAAAAUGGGAGAGUUGGUCGUGGUCGUCUAUGGAAUGAAAGAAGAAUGGGGGAAAGAGUUGAGAAAAAGAGUGGGAAGAUGGGGGCCGUCGAGUAUUGUGGGAGUACACAGAGAAAAGGAAAAAAACCGGGGAGAANNNNNNNNNNNNNNNNNNNNNNNNNNNNNNNNNNNNNNNNNNNNNNNNNNNNNNNNNNNNNNNNNNNNNNNNNNNNNNNNNNNNNNNNNNNNNNNNNNNNCCAAAAUAAAAUUAAAUAAAUAAUUCAAGAAAAGUGGGGGAUUUGGUCGUUGUCGUUUUUGAAAGGAAAGAAGAAUGGGGGAAAGAGUUGAGAAAAAGAGUGGGAAGAUGGGGCCGUCGAGUAUUGUGGGAGUACACAGAGAAAAGGAAAAAAUCUGGUGAGAAUGGGAAAAAAAAUGGGUUGGUUGUGGUUAGGGGAGUUGUAGAAAGGGUAGGAGAAAAUUUGGGGAAGAAAAAUAGGGGGUUGGUCGUGUGCGGGUAAGGGAAGAGAAAGAGUAUGAGAAAAGUUGGGGAAGAAAAUGAGGGAAAAAAGAAAAAAUAAAAUAAAAUAAAAUAAAAAAUGGGAGAAAAAUGGGCGUUCAGUUGUGUGUAGGUGAGGGAAGAGAGAGAGUGUGAGAAAAGUUAGGGAAGAAAAUGGGGGAAAAAGGAAAAGAAAAUAAAAAAUAAAAAAAAAAAUAAAAUGAAAAAAUGAGAGAUGAAAUUGUGGCCGGUGGUGAAGGGUAUGGGGACUUCUUGGCCAAAAUAGGCUUCUAUUGAAACAUUAUAUUAAAAGUGGGCUCCUUCCCAAAGUAAUGUUCAAAAUAGCCCCCUUAAAUCCAUAUUAGCAUAAAAACCUAUUUUUUAUACUAUUUAUUUUUACUUUACCAACUUCCAUCUCGUGUUGUUCUCUCUUCCCAUCUCAUGUUGUUCUAUGUGUGAUUUUUUCCUUCAAAACCCUAGCCCCACUAGUGGGCCACUGAGAAAGACGUUAGAGCUACAAAGUAUCAAGGUUGAGGUUAGUCCUAAUCUUCUUUUUGGUUUAUUUUAUAUAAAUUUUUUGGCACUUUCCCAUUUUUUCCCAAUCUCAUAAUCUCGGUUUUCAGAAAAUUAUUUUUUUCCAUUGCUUUUGGUUUUCUCUUUUGUUUACGUCCUUUACAGCUAUUUUAGCAUAAAUGGUUUCUUAUCAUCCAAAGAUUGAAGCCCUUUAAGAUGUACACUUUUGAUGAAGUUCAUAGGGAAAAUGAAAAUUUCUGGGGAAAAAUGACAGAUCUGUGAUUUGUAUAUUUGAUGAUUAAUGUCUUAAGGUUAACCUAGUUUCAGAAGAGAAUCCAGGGGGUCCCGUCGGGAUGUGGUGUUUGGGUAGCCAAAAUAAAAAUUAAAAAAAAUCAAGAAAAAUGGGAGAGUCGGUCGUGGUCGUCUAUGGAGUGAAAGAAAAAUGGGGGAAAGAGUUGAGAAACAUAGUGGGAAGAUGGGGCCGCCAAGCAUUGUAGGAUUACACAGAGAAGAAGAAGAAAUCUAGUGAGAAUAGGGGAAAAAAAAUGGGUUGGUUGUGGUCAGGGGAGUUGUAGAGAGGGUAGGAGAAAAAUUGGGGAAGAAAAAUGGGGUGUGUCGUGUGUGAGUAAGGGAAAAGAGAGAGUAUGAGAAAAAUUGGGGAAGAAAAUGGGGGAAAAAGGAAAAAUAAAAUAAAAAAUAUAAUAAAAAUAUAAUAAAAAAUGGGAGAAAAAUGGGAGGUCGACUGUGUUUAGGUAAGGAAAGAGAGAGAGUAUGAGAAAAGUUAGGGAAGAAAAUAGGGGAAAAAGGAAAAGAAAAUAAAAAAUAAAAAAUAAAAUAAAAUGAAAAAAUGAGAGAUGAGAUGGUGGCCAGUGGCGAAGGGUAUGUGGACUUUUGGGCCAAAAUGGGCUUCUGUUGAAACAUAAUAUUAAAAGUGGGCUCCUUCCCAAAGUAAUGUUCAAAAUAGCCCCCUUGAAUUCACAUCAGCAUAAAAACCAAUUUUUUAUACUAUUUAUUUUUACUUUACCAACUUCCAUCCUAUGUUGUUCUCUUUUCCCAUCCUGUGUUGUUCUAUGUGUGAUUUUUUCCUUCAAAACCCUAGCCCUACCAGUGGGCCAUUGAUAAAGACGUUAGAGCUACAAAGUAUCAAGGUUGAGAUUAAACCUAAUCUUCUUUUUGGCUUAUUUUAUGUAAAGUUUUUGGCACUUUCCCAUUUUUUUUCCAAUAUCAGAAUCUCGAUUUUCAGAAAAUUAUUUUUUUUCCAUUGCUUUUGGUUUUCUCUUUUGUUUACGUCCUUCACGACUAUUUUAGCAUAAAUGGUUUCUUAUCAUCCAAAGAUUGAAGCCCUUUAAGAUGUAGACAUUUGUUGAAGUUUAUGGGGAAAAUAAAAAAAUUUCUUGGGAAAAAUGACAGAUCUGUGAUUUGUAUAUUUGAUGAUUUAUGUCUUAAGGUUAACCUAGUUUCAGCUUCUGGGGAAAAUAAAAUUAAUGUAUAUUGGUAUUUGUUUUCUAGGCUGGUUUUAGGUUAUAUUGUGAUUAUUAAAAAUUAAUAUAGAAUUGUUUUCUGGGCUGGUUUGAACGGUUUUCUGGGCUGGUUUCAGCUUAUAUUGUGAUGAUUAAAAAUUAAUGUAUAUUUGUUUUGUGGAGGGUAACCCGGUUUCAGCUUGUAGGGAAAAGAAAAUUAAGAAUGGGUUUUCUAGGCUGGUUACAGCUUUGUUAUAUUGGUAUUUUGGGUUGGUUAUAACUUUGGUAUUGUUAGCUUAAAGUUACAGUUGAAAAGAAUGGGUUCGUUUAAGAGUUUAGGUCUUUCACGUCAUCUACAUAAAGACAUAUUAUUACUUAUUAAAAAAUAAAAAAUAACUAUAUAAUUGUAAUAUCUUUUACUAUCCUAAACUCUCUUUUGGAUUUUUCAAGGGCUUAAUGUUUAGUUUUUAACUUUUGUGAAUUUCAUAAUAUCAUUACUAAUUUUAUAAUAUAUUUGAAUAUUUAAAUGAAUAAAUAAAUAUAAUAAUUCAAAUGAAGGUGUAGUAGAGUCAUUCUUAUAAAUAUAUCAUAUUUAAAUACUUCACUUUUAAAUAAACUUUAUAAAAUAUAGUGUUAUUUAUUUUUAUUUUCAUAUUUUCAAUUGUUAAUUUACUUAAUAUCUUGUUUUUAAAAAAAUAAUAUUAUUUAAUUUUAUGACAAGUCAACACAAUACCACAGUUAUGUGUGAUGUUCAUUAAUCAAUUAUCAACUUUCAAUUAGAUAAUUGUUGGCUUUUGAAUAAGACAAGGGGCCCCACCCCACUAAUUGUUAAUUUUUAAUAUCAAAAGGGUAGUUAGUUGGAUUGAAAUUUGAAACUUUGGAAUUGGAAUAGUUGUUUUAUUGUUUGUUUUUUAUAUUGAUUGGAAAAAUCAAAGUAAAUACUUAAUAAUGGAUGAUAGUAACAAUAUGUUAGAGGCAAUUAGUGACAUUAGAUAAUAUUUGUUGUUAUGUUAGAGGUGAUUGAUGACAUUAGGUAGUGUUUGUCAAUGAAUCCCGAUAAAAAAAGUUUCUAGAAUGUUAAAAAGAUAAACAUAAUUUUUAAAUAUAUUUAAAUAAAACUCUUAAAUAU